CGAACCAAAAAUAGUGUCUGGGAACGGAGGGACUAGUUAAGAACAAAAGGACCUAGUUGUGAAAGAGGAAGAAAAGGAGAAGGGUCGGAAUGCAAAACUGCCAUUGGGAUCUUGGCAUCUUCUUCCCUUUCCUCCACGCUGCUGCUCCAUCUCAGGCCGCCGCCGCGGCCAGGACGGCGUAGCGGCGCGCCACAAAGCUUACUGCUGCUCCUCCUCAAGUACGACCCCAUCAACAUCCUGCUGCUCCUCCACGCUUCCUCAAGCUGCUGCUGCAACCAAGGGAACAGCACCGGCGAGCACGACGACCACCUGCAGCUCCUUCUCCUUCUACAACUUGUGCUGCCUCAUCCCCUGGGUUAUUCCCAUCCGAAUCUCUCCCUUGCUUCUUCACAAAAAAAAAAUCUCUCCCUUGUCUCCCUAUUGCUUGUUGUUUUUGUGAUAUGAAUAGAGAACUUGUUUCCCAUUGCAUGGCAGGUGUUUGAUGUAAUGCUCGUAUGAAUUUGCAACGAAUUUCAUUCUAUCCCUUAUCCCUGUCUUCUUCCCUGCUAAUCUUGUCUAAUUCUUCAAUUGUGAUGGAUUUGUGUGAGCUAUUGCUGUUACUCGAGCUACCUAGAACAAUCGUAUUCAGUUGGAGCUCACGCGAGGAAGACAAGAGUUUUUGUGCUGCUCAAACUUCCGCAGCUUUUCUGGCGUUUUUCCAUUCCCUUUUAUUCAAUCGUUACAUGCAUAACAGAAAACGGAGAGAGCAAGCCGCGCCAUGAUCCGCUGAUCCCGCGCCAUCCCACGGCCGAGUCAUGGCACACAUCCAGCUCCUCCUCAACGGCCACACUACUAGGCACGUCCAUGCAAACGUAAGCAGACGUGCUGGGACGUGAUAUGCUAACAGAAAACAAAAUAACAACUGAAAGCAAAGAUAUUUAACGUGCACGAGUUUACUAACAAUUGCAUCAUCUACUGUAAUAAUUUCGUACUGGUGUUGUUCUUGUGUAAGAUCAAUUUUCUGUGAUAAAUAUAUAUGUGCUGCCCUGUUAUGAACUCUCCUUUUCCCAAACAAAUUGCUUCUUUCCUUGUAUUAUGUGUUUGUUCAUGAGAUUACUUGUUGUCCCUGUUAAUUGUCUUUGUAAAUCUGCACCUGUCUUUGAUGUUUGCUUGUGUUAGUGUUUUAAUUGUCUAAAGUAAAACGAAAAUAACAAAAAUAUUGUUCAUUGCUACAUUGUUUCCUUUCUUUUCGGUUAGAAUAUUACCCCCUGUGUUUGAUUGAUCUAGAUUUAGUUCUAGCUCGAUUGUUGAUAGCCUAGUCCUUGUGGAGAACACGACAACCCGCAGUUUCAGCGACAUACCCACUGCUAUUUUACACUCGAUCAACCACCCCAGCAGAGGCCGGAGAUUGCCUAAGAAUGAGAGCAUUGCGCUGCUUCCAAAUGUGCCAGCAAGCCGCGAGAAAGACCAUUUCGAGGACAAGGAGGCAUCUAAAGUGGUGGGAACUCUGCUAAAACGCCCAAGCAUGGAGCCAGAAGCAUGGGCGGAGCCACCGCCUGGCUACCCCGGGCAACUGCCCGGGCUCCCCCCUUGAUCUCCCUUUAAGAUGAAGUAAGCAUGGUGGUUAAAUUGACAGAUUUUUGUGCGUAAAUUUUAGUUCAGAAGAAUGAUACUCCCUCCGUCCAACAAAAGAUGUCUCAAGUUUGUCAAAAUUUGGAUAUAUCUAGACAUGACUUAGUGUAUAGAUGCAUUCAAAUUUAGUCAAAAUUGAGAUAUCUUUUGUUGGAAGAAGGGAGUAUGUGCUUUACCCAGGCUUCAUCAAUCCGCUGGCUCUGCCACUGGCCAGAAGCAUGGAGGAGAAGGAUAGCAAUUGAAGUCCAACAACGCUGAUGUUCACUAGCUUUGCCCAGUGCAUUGCAAGAAAAGAUGUUCACUAGUUUCCCGGGUACCCAGGUUGCAAAGAGAACAUACCACAAUGCCAUCACGGUUGCAGCUCUUCCUGUCCAUGAUUGAUAAAUUCACCACAGAAACAUAUAUGUACUAUAUCCAAAUUGGGUAAGAGAAUAGUUGAUACCAAAGAGAGAGAUUUGACGCUUGGUCUCUUUGCCUUCAAUCUCUUCCUUCUUAAGCCAGCUUGGUGCAGUAGAUUAAACAAGACAGUGUUGGUAAGAAACAAGUGGUAGUAAAUGACAACAAUGUAACAUGGUGUUGCUUAUGGCAUGGUUGCUACUACUCCCUCCGUUUCAGGUUAGUGGUACAUGCUUCUUUUAGCGAGACAGAGUAGGACGAAGUGACAAAAUAUCACAUAAGACCGCUCUUCGCAUAUUCCAUGCAAUUAAUUGCAUCACGCAUUCAAUCUUUUCCAACCCCUACUUAUCUCCAGUUCCCUUCACCCAACAGUACAAUACGAUUAAAAUUGUUUGCCUAGAAAAAGUAACAAUACAAUGAUACUUAGGCUUUGAAUGUUUAAAUGUACAAGUAUUCUGAGGCAACUUUCAUAGCUAUAUACUAAUAUACAACUAAAACAAAAUGGAGGGAGUACAUUUUUAAUAAAAGGAGUCUACUCUAUAAUAUCAACGUGACAUGGCUUAUCAAGUGUGUUGUUGUAUUAUAUCGAGGCCCCAUUUGGAAAUCUCCAAUAUCAAGACAAAGAGCACACAUUUUAAAAGGUUUUGAUUUUCGUUUUGGCCAAUAGAUUUGAAACCCAAGAGCCUUGCAAUUAGCGUAGAUUUCGAAUGGUACACAUGCAUUAGUUUCAUCUAAUGCAAAUAUGAAACCCGAGGACUUGCAAAUAAGUGCGGAAGUAUUUAAAAGAGAAGAAUUGAAUAGUGACCUUGUAAUUCUGGGGGAACUCAGAUUUAGAACGAGUCUUGCAUACAUGGAAGGAGGGAGUAUUUUCUAUCUUAUUUUAUCGGUACCAGCUUUUCUGUGAACCAAUUGGUGCAUGCAUUUCAAUAAUAAUGAGUGCAGUAUGGCACAUUCCUAGAAUGAAAAAUAGCAAAUCCGAACAAGUGACACCAAUGUAAGAGGCAAAGUAAGUUAUUUAUAAAGGAAGUGUCAAAUACCAGUGCCCAUUUCAAGAACCUGAUCAUCAUUCACGAGUUCAAAGCUCUUGUAAGUGUGGCCCACAAAAUUCAAGUCCUUUGAAGAAAGCAUCUGCAAGACAAAUAAUAUAACAGAUGGGAAUAUUGUAUUUUAAAGGAGGUGGAAAUUGUUGCAAAUUUUCAGAUUUAUAAAGCUACCAAAGAGUUUAUACAUAAAGGAACACUUACUUCCUCCAAGGGCCAUCUUUGAUGAAGCUUGAAGAUAAUCCGAAGACUGGAAAUACAACAUAAAGAUUUAAUAUUUGCACUGACUUCUGAAGACUGAGACAUUUAUUUAGAAGAAAACAAGCUGCCUACCUCUACAAAUUUCUCAAAAUUCUGAGGGUCCAACUCAUUCGUUACUUGAGGUAAAUAUACAGCUUCUAUUUCGUUUAACUUCUCCCAUUCUACUCCACUAAAACAAGAGUGCUCAUAAUAUUAAGCAUGCAAAGUUCCAUGAACAAAUAUUAAGCAGUAUCAAUUUUCUUUUCUUUUCCUUUCAAAAAAGGAUCAAAUAUUCUUAAAGGACACACAACAACCUUGAUUCCUCUGCACCUUUUGUACCGAGGUGCUGGUCGAUGUCGCAUAAGAGUUUGCUUAUAAGAUCUUUGGCAUCCGUCAGUAGCCUUGCUGCUUCGGGAAAUUUCAGAUGUGUUGUCCAGUUCACUAUCUGUUCCAGCGCACGUAAUCACAAUUGAAACAAAAGUCCAUAAGAUUCAUAAAGUUGAGAGAAAAAUGAACUUCCAAAUCACUGAGAUAUUGAAGUUGGGCAUCCUGUAGCUCUAGGCAACAGGAGGACCAAGCAGCAGAAUGUUCAUAGCUGAAAUCCUGAAAGGCAUUACCUUUCUGCAAGUUGUCAGAGGUUCAUCUGAGUAGAAGGGACACCCCACUAGCAUUUCAUACAUUAUGGCUCCGAGUGACCACCUACAAACAGUGUGCAAAAAUUUGUCCUUUUGAGUGCAGACUCAUUAUGUGAAAUGCCAUCGGAUAUACCCAAGUUAUGCUUACCAAUCGCACUCCACUGAAAAGAACUUCUGGAGCAAUUUAGUCCGGUGUACCAACAGUGGAGUAAUCCUAAGAUCAUUUAGCAGCUUUUCAGAAACACAAUAGAGAAAUCAUCGGAGAAGGCAUUAAAGAACAAAUAAUUUAUGCCGUCCCUCUUACAGCUAAAUUAUAGAGUAGCUACUAACUAAUGAGCAAUGAUAACUGCAACAGGAUGCUGUACUAAAUGACAACUAAAAUCACUCACUAUCAACUUGAUGCUUAAAUGAAGACAAUUUUCCAAAUAUCAUGGAGUUUCCCCUCUCAGACAAUGCAUGUUUCAUACAAUUGUCAGAGGUGCUAUGAAGAUCCUUAACAGACUCGUGUGCCUAAAAACAUUGCAAGGAAGAAGGCCAACAGCAUUUGUUCCACAACCCAGGUGGUAAAAAUAAUCCAAAACACACUAAGCACCCAUGUGGAACAAAUGUGGUUAAAAUCCUGGUUUAAGUUAUUUCAUCCCUGAAGGCUUUUAAAGAUUCGUGUAGAAGGAACAGAGUCAGGUAAGCUUAUUUUCUUACGCCAUAUAAAAACUUAGUAUUAACUGUAGGCUUCUUUUGCCUUUUCAUCUGCACUAGCACUUUGAACCCUGCUGCAGCCUGAGUAUUACUAACUGAAUAAGCAGUACUAUUUUCUUUGUUUUUCCCUGCCAAUUUAGAACAUGCCGUUUUGCAUUCUCACUUUCUCACUACUGGCUGCUUCUAUAGCUUUAACAGAGCUCUUUUCGCUUACCUUCACAAACCUACCCCAGCCCUUCAUCACACCCAAGUAAACACCAAUAUGAUCUGAAAUAACGGAUGUCAUGGCAGCACCAGUUGUUUUCAUGUGGAGCAUGACCUUUCCUGCAAGCUCCCUCUGAGGUGUUUCCAUCUGCUAGUUCCCUCCUACCAAUUCUGGGCCUAUAGGCACCAUAUUUUCAGCAGCAAAAUUGGCAAAAAACAACUUGUGUCCAUUGAGCUGAACGAACUCUUAGCAUUCUUUCCAAAUGUUGUCUCCACUAAGAAUAUGUACCAGAACUUUUGUGCAAGGCGAUCAUUUAACAAUAUACUCCCUCCGAUCCAUAAAAAGUGUCGCCCACUUAGUCUAAAAUUUGUACUAACUUACUAAAAAAAUGGACGACACUUUUUAUGAAUCGGAGGGAGUAUCUUUUAACUGACUAUAGGCGAUUAUUUAUCACCUUGUAUCUUUCAAGGCCCUUCAUCAUACCUGAAAACGUGCAUCGUACAUUUAUGCUAUGUUUCUUGUAAGAGUGUCUUUUAAGUUUUAACAAUGAGUAGACCAGCAGAGACAUUUUCAACACCUAGGAAAUUGGAAAGAAGCAAAAGAAGAGCAGUUCAUAGUUCAUACCCAGCAGUAAUUUGUCCAAUGAAAAUUAAGGGGUGAAAAGCGAUCACUUAUUAAUUUAGUCAUGGCUCCCAAGAAAGAUUACGUUCAUUAGAAGGGGCAUGCAUAACGUUUGACUGCUACCUACGACAUCAUCAGUGCACUACGGGUCAAUUUGACUAACAAUAGACCAUUCAUGAAGUUCUGGGUUCAGAGGAUCUCUUAGACAUGUUCAAUCUUCCUCUUUCUGAACAAACCUUCCAAGAGUACCUGGAGAUUCAGAGGAUUGCUGAUUCUAGAGUAAUGGAUGUGUGGAGCAUCCUGGAUUGCGGUCGUGGUUAUUCGUCUCAAAAGUACUAUGAGCUUCGGUUCUAUGCGACAUCUUCGGACAGAGUAAUGGCCUGGGUCUGGAAGAGAAAAUGUGUACCCAAGCUUAACGUCUUUGCCUGGCUCCUUAUCAACAAUCGGCUGAAACACAAAGGAAAUGAUGACUAAGUGACAACGUAACCGGUCCAACUCUCUAUCCUGUGUCCUCUGUGACCAAGGAUGCUCUGAAGAUCAUGACCACCUCUUCUUUGACUGUCCCUUCAAUAAAAGCUGUUGGCAAUAAAUUGGCUUCAAUUGGGACACAUUGGAGGAUAUUAGGCUGAGGAUCAUCAACAAUAGAAGCUCCUUCUCCCAUCCUGGUUUCAUGGAUAUAGUUGUCUCGCUGCUUGGAAUAUUUGGCUGCAAAGGAAUGACCCUCCCUCUGUAGAUAGGUGGUCCAGCAGCUUCAAAAAUGACAUCACUAGUGUUAGAUUUAAAUAAGAUGUUCGGUUGGGUGUCCUGAAUGAGUGAAUGGCUUGCUUUGACUGAGUCUGUAAUUAAAGUCCCGUAUUUCCUCUUUUGGGGGUCCCCUCAUACUCUCUGUAAAUAUUAGCCUCUCCUGCAGUCCUUAUUUCAAAAAAAGGACUAACAAAAGACCUACAUGGGUGGUUAUGCCAUGAGCGGAAUGUCUAGCAGUCAGAACUUUUCAAGCAAAAUCAACUAGUAUGAAUAAUGUCUGGAGUGCAGGACUAGCAGUGUGGAAUAUCAAUAUAAUGUCAGGUAAGGCUUUGAAAAAUUGAAAUUCAAGAACAUCUCUAAUAUCUCUAAAACACAUUACUAAUAAUUAAUACAGAGAAUGUUUUGAGAGUGGUUGAGACACCCAAUCUCAAAGUUCAGUAAAUUUCAUUCAGAAAAUGUUUUGAGGGUGGUUGACAUCCAUUCCGAAAGUUCAAUUAUUUUGGUUGUAUCCUAAGUCUAAAAUACAUUCGAUUUUGGUUUACAAGUAUAACAUUUUUUUGUGAAACAAAAAGAGAUCUUUAAUAUAUAUUUUAGAAAAUGUAAGCUUUAUUACCCUAGCCUAUGCACACAAUAUGCAUACAACCUAUGUUUAUUACGAAGUUUAUUGCAACCGCAAAAAGCAACCAAAUAAAAAACCUGACUAGUCGCCAUGAGAACCAAACUACAGUUAGGAGUCUCGAGCUAACCAAACCCUGGUAAUCCACUCUAGCUUCUUGGCGCCACACUCCAUCAAUUUCUUGUGUUGGGCCAUUGUAGUAAAGCCAUCAACCGCAGCCAGUUGAUACACGAGUAACACUAACACCUGUAUGCAUGAAUGAACUUUUUUCCUGUCAACCAUGAUUUCAUUAAGGCACAGCCAUAUGGACCAAAAAACUGCUGCUGCCCCAACCAAAAUAAUGGAACGUGAAGACUAGUAUAUGCCCUCAAGCCUGUGUGCAAUACUGACUGGAGUGGUCAUAUAAAAAGACGAUUGAGCAGCACUCCAAGCAAACUCGUGCCAAAAAAGUAUAACACAACCCAAAAAAAAUAAGAUGUUGAAUGGUUUUCUAUUAAAGGGUUCUUUAAUAAAAAUAAUAUUUGAAAAAGUAUUUGCAAGGAAGCCAUGCAACUGCAAGUGAUAUUCCCUUUUUAAGAUCAAGAAGAGAUGAAACUGGAAAAUACUUGAUGCAUGCAUAGGCGCAUAGCCCAACUCUUGGAAACAAUGGAACAGAUAGAAGUGGGAGGGCACUGAGGAUAAUCUCUGGAAAGCAGGGACUCAUUUUUCAACAUGAUAAAGCAGUGGAGAGAACCAGAGAGCUUUGGUUCAAUCGUGAUUGCAGGGCAUGAUCCAUCACGAAUUGCGAUGAAGUAUUUGCUCAAAGGAAAUAGCAUACAAGAGGUUAAACUCACUUGGGUAAACUCUGCCCUGCUUGAGAUAAUACUACAGAAAGAUCUCCUCAAACAGGGGAUCAAUCUAAACUGUCCAGGGACUUCAGAUUAACACACAGACUAUCAAACAAGCAGCGAAUAAGAAAAUGAAUGGUUAAAUAUGUAAUUGAAGGAUGGACAUCCAGCCAAAUACUAAAAGUACAAGAAAAUCUUUACUUAUAAAGAUCUGAGUUGGUGGUCAUCUGUUCAGCCCAUUAAGAUUAUCCCCACAUUGCUAUGAAAUGAAUGUAAUUGCACCCAUUCAGUAUGGUAGAUAUAAAUAUCACUGUAUUUUGACUAAAGAUGACUGGAUUGAUGUAUAUUUUGAAAUAAUUGUUAUUCGGUACAAAACUUGGGAACAUGAGGACAAUAGUGCAUUGAAGCAAGUUAUGCGAAAUAAUAAUAAUAAUAAUAAUUCUGUAGCAACGCAUGUGCAUAUAGCUAGCUGGGUUAAUGAUACAGUAGCAUAAAAGUACCUGUGCUUAAAGAUACAAAAAGUAACAUGCAUAUGGAGUAGUGAUUAUAGCAACCAAGCAAAAACAAUACCUCGAUAUUAUUUGGUAUAGCACUUCUGAAAGAUCUAACUUUUGCUCAAAAUAUUGCUCCAUGUCAGAAUAGCACAAUGAUUACCAACCGGACCCCAAAAUGUAGCAUAUCAGCUAGCCAGUGUACAGUUUUGGCCUUUGGACAGUUUUGGCUUGCUUUUGUUCUUUUGGCUUCUUUCAGUUUGCUUGUUUUUGCCAUUGUAACUUUUGCCUUCUCGGUGCUUCUUCUAAUGAAAAUGACAUGCACUUAGGUGCGGGUUUGAGGAAAAAAAAACUUACAAAGAACAACAUAUAACAGUACAACUAAUCAGGUAAAAUAAAAAUUAUAUGCUGACAAUCAGAAAGAAUACUAGAAUGCAUGUCAGAAAGAGAGAAACAUCGUAAUUUCCUUUGCUAUCCACUCUCUGCAGAUCAGUCUGCUUCAAGUAAAGAACAACUUCAUGCACCACUCUGCUCGGACCACUUGCUUCAAAUAAAAAUUCUACAUAUGCCGCUUUGGACUCUUUGAAAACUUCGGGAGGUAUUCCAUAUGUGAGAACAAGGUGCAUAAAAUUAUGAAACAAGGAAUGAAGAAGAAAAGUUGCACCAUUGGGCAGUAAAUACUGUAGAGCAGAGCUUCUUAUAGACAUUAUCAGCUCCUGAUGAUAGGCUAUAGAUGAACAGGUUAAAGUUAAACCCAUCCCAUUAUAUAGCUCUAACUGGAUACUGAACCACACGGUUCGAUCUCUUGGUUACGUUGAAGGAAUUCAACUCCAGAUGGAAUGGCUGGAGUUACAAAACCAGCCAACUGUUUACAGAGUGGCAAAAAAACUAAGGUUUUAAUGUCAAUUGCUAUAACAUUUACCUCACAAACACGAGCAUCUCACAAAAGGUUGCUAGAAUCUGAAAUUGAAACAAAGAGCAAAAGGCAGACUGGCAUUGGACAGCUUUUAGCAUGUCCCUCCCUGAAAUGCUCAAGAUUGUUUGGAAGGGUUAAGAAUUUUGGAACGACACACAAGCACAAAAUAUUGAUUGACUUGGUAGAGUUAGCCAAUUAUAAGGGAUAUACUUGAUAAUAUAUAACAUAUUUUAAAAUGAAGUCUGAAUUGGAAAGCUUUGCUGACAUAAAGCAGGCAAAUUAGAUGCCAGAAUGUGAGAUCGAUGCAGGUUGCAGCAUGACAGCAUCAACAUAAGCUAAAACAAUAAUUAUUUUCAAAUGAAGUCUUCAAAGAGGUUUCUGAUUUGUUUACUUAUUAGUGGAAAACUCUAAAUAUUUGGGGUUGGGUUUCAUAUUUUGCAAUCUACUUCAAUAAAUGUGAGGAGAUAGUGCUAGAUCAAGUUAAGGGACUAAAAUAAAAACUGAAACAAACAUCUAGCAACCACCGCUGACAGAUAAAAGCCACACGAUUGUGAAGGAACACCUUCCUUGCAAUAUCUUAAAUAGUUAUCUGGCUCUAGCUGACAAUAAGAAAGCAAGUGAAAUCAAACCAUCAAUAAAUACCUGCAUCUAUCACUGAAGUAUGGUUACAUACUCAAUUAUUAUGAAACCUAAAGAAACAUGAAUUCAUACAACAAUGCCUCUACAUUGUAUGCAGCAAAUACAAAAUUCUACCCCUUCAACUUUCAGGUAUGCCCGGAGUUGGUGCUCUGCUUAAAUUUUGGAUGAACCCGGGACUAAAAGUUUCUUCUUUAAAAAAGCAGCUGUAAUACCAGAGCAGAUUUUAUAAUUGCAUGAACUACUCCCAAAAUCUAAUACUCCCUCCGACCCAUAACAACAGUUGUACUAAAUCAGCGACACUUAUUAUGGAUCGGAGGGAGUAGUAAUGUUUUGAUUAUGCAGUAGCAGGUCAUAACACAAGGGGGGUUAUCAGAUUAGUGUGACAAAAUAACCUGAUCUUGUGCGCUAUUUUUGACAGUAGGAACCACGAUAAACCAAAUAAAGAUCUUCCACUAAGAACUUUGUAUAACUGUAGAAAAAAUAAGAAGAAAACAUCCACUCAUAUGUUACCAGUUUAUCCCCCAUCCCCUUGAAAGUUGAAACACAGCAAAAAGUUGAUUCCUUCCUUCCCUUGUGUAUGCAUCAUAAAUGUUUGCAGCUUAUUUACUAGAUAUAUUCUGCAAAUCAAAGAUAAGAAAAUGUAUCAAAACUCCAGGUAUCAAGUACUGAACACAUGGAGUUCAGAGUUGGUGCGACUUAACUGCAAAAAGCACUGCAGCCAAAUUGAACUCCAGAUUCGCUGCUAAGUUAUUUAUUCAGGGUAACCUGUAUACUGCUUGUCCACCUUGAAGAGUGAGUAUCUUCUUCAUAUCCAGUGUUGGAUAGUUAAAACUUAAAAGCGAGAUGGUUGUAUAGCUAACAGCCAGAAAGGGAAAAUGAUUACAAAAUCUGCAAGCAGCAAGUAGCACAGUUGAUGAUCAGAAGCAUCUUGAGCAGAUAAAUUGGCAUGCCAUAUAAAGAAUAACUAAGUGCGUAGAUAGGGUUAGAUGGGAUAAGAACAUGUCGUCACAACACUUCUCUUAAUGAAAACUAUGUCAAAGGACUGUAAACACAAUAUUUAGAACUCCAAUUGAUGUACAGAGACAUUUAUUAAAUUAGAUGUGAAUGUAAGUGUUAUCCAAUGGGACCACAGGAUCAUCUCAAACUUGUGCCAAAAGAAGGAAGCUCCAGACAUAUAGAGCUAGAGACAUAAAUUGGACAGCAGUCUAAAAUAUGUGCAAAUUGUUCUGACUCUACUGGUGCGUUUUAUGCAACUAAGUGUUAAAUCCCUAGAGUGUCUUCCAAGUUCCAACAGUUAGCGACAAAUUAGCAAUGUCCACUUAACAAAGACAAAAGCAGUACUGUACUCCCUCUGAUCCUAAAUUCUUGACUCGAGUUUGCCCAUAUAUGGAUGUAUCUAGAUAUAUACAUGUAAUUUUCGACAACAAUUUAGAAUCGGAAGGAGUAUAUUGGAAAGGAAUAAGCAUGGGAUAAAAUACGAGUAUCAUAUUUCACCCAAUCGAUAGCACAUUACGAAAAAAAGCAUAUACUUGUCUUCCAUCCCAAUCAUAUUUUGGCCUCGUUGAUAUAUCCCAUUCUAUUCUAGGAGAGUGCAUUAUUCUACCCGGGUUCGAAUGUGAUCUGUGCAGUAACUAAACCGUUGCUAAUCAUGUUUGCACUGCUUGAGUAUAGCAGCAUCAACAGAAUCCGGGGCUAGCGAUCUGACUCGACUAAACGUAUUAAACGGAGCGAAGUGACAGACUAGUGGGGCCAGUAAAUGAUCUUUAUUAGAAGCGCUGGGCCCACCAACCCCUCUAAUCCCUGGUUCCCGCCUGCUACGUUUCCAAGCGCGCUCUCUCUCUCUCUCUCUCCGCGCACGGCUUCACCCACUCAGGUUUCGAUGCUCCUCCUCCUUUCUCUAUAAAGUGGCACCGCGGAUCCUCUCCAUCUCCACCGCCGCCUCCUCCACAGAAAGCCUCCAAAACCCUAGCUAGUUCUCAUCUUGAGGUUGCCUCUCAUCGGUUGCACCCCUCUCGGCGGAGCAGCCUGCUACGGUACCAACUCUACCCCCCAACCCCCCCCCCCCCCCCCACCCCCGACUUCUCCUACCUAUGGUUGGUUUGUUCUUGAGUUAAUCUUCCUUGCCGGCCGACCGGCCGGCCGGAUUUGUUGCUGGUGCUGGGUAGAUAGACGGCACAGCGGGUAGAAUAUGGGUGGAUCUUGAGGUAUGCGACAGAAAGAGUUGAUGCAUGCGUGGAAGAGUUGAUCUUGAUACAAAGGGUUGAUCUUGGGGUAUGCGGUAGAAAGAGUUUUGAUCGAUCUUGAUGGAAGUGCGUGUUAGAAAGAGUUGAUCUUUGGGUAUGCGGUAGAAAAAUUUGAUCUUGAUAUGCAUGUGCGUGGUAGAAAGAGUUGAUCUUGAGAGGGUACGCGACAGAAAGAGUUGAUCUGAGUUACUACGCUUGGAAGAGAUGGUUUUGAAAUCUGCGCUUGAAAGAGUUGAGGAUCUUUCUCUGUGCGCUAGAAAAAGUUUAUCUUGCGCUAGAAAUAGUCAGCCAGCGUCAAAGAAGAGGUGUGCAUGCCACAGCGAGCGAGGCACGGUCGCCGCUGCAUUUCAAGCUUGCUAUUUUGCUCUGUUUGCCGUCGAUUGAGGAGGUCGAUCGAUCUUUUUGCUCUCGUUUGCGGUUUGCCGUCGCUCUAGCUUGCUGCAUGAAUUAUGUUAAAGCCCGUAUCUCAAACUUCCUUUCUGCUCUGCUGUGUUUGAUUCUGGAAAUCUGGAUGCAGGAUAAAUGGCGACCUGGGAGGUCUCAUGGGUAGAUCGGCUUCCGCCCGUCAGAAACCAGGGCAAUCGCCCCAGUUGCGUCCUGGAAUCCAGCAUGUACGCUGCGCAGGUGGUAAGGAACACCAAUAUUCGCAAUGGUUUACUGGUGCCACCUUUGACCACGUUUCACCAUGAAUCCUUCAUUGUGGAUUACGAGCUAUCCACCCAGACGUUUCUAGAUGAGUGGGACAACCUCUACUACCCAGAACAAGAGCGGAGAGUACAAAAUGCAUUGGAGCUGUUUCGGACCCAAGGAGUCUAUGCCACUUCUGAAGAUUGGUUUGGUUUCGAACGUGUUAACAUAUCAAACUACCAAGCCCAUGAUUAUCUGAGCUUCGAGCAGAUACACGAGUAUGUGUGUAUGGGUCAUCCGGUGCUUGGCACUUUUGGGGUCCGAUCGGACUACACCAUUUUUCCGUUCGAACUCAUAUACGAGCUGUCUCCUCCUGCGAAUGAACGGGAUUACACAUAUAUGGUCAUGAUUUGCGGGUGCGGCGAACUCAUGGGUCGAGCCUAUGUACUUUACCUCAAUACCUUUGGCUGGUGGUGGGGUUACUGGGGACUUGGGAGGGUGUACUGGGACCAAAUACUUCAGUUCCCGGGCACGCAGCACUGUCUGUGGACCAUCGAGAUGGACGGGAUUCAAGUUCCAGUUCCACCCGUCGACCCACGGUCACCGCCUCCUUACCCCCCUCCGAGCAAGAGAAGAAGAACAAGAUAUGCUCAUCAGCCGCGGCCGUUUCCCCCGGGGUAUGCUCCGCAGUCCCCGCCUCCUCCGGGAUCUACAGCGAAUUUCUCUGGCUUGAAAUCGCCGCCGGCGUUACUCCUCUGCACAGAGGCCGCCCGGAACAUCCUCCUCCCUCCAGGUAUCUCUCUCUUAAUCCCCACCCCUCAAGCAUUUGGUUCAUGUUGAGUUGCCGCCAUGUAACAGCUGUUUGUUCUGUGUAGAUGGCACGGCGUCGAAGGCUGCCGACUGCAUAAUGAACGCCUCUGCUAGUGACUCUGCGUGGCAAUAUAAGGUCAGCUCUUUUAAGCCUACAGUGUUUCUUCAGCACUUUGUCACGCGAAAUUUCUUCUGUAGUCUGUACGUCUUGUUUCUGAUAGUGAUAUACUCCGUAUAAAACAUAGAGAUGAAAUAAAAUAAAACCUGAUUGAAAAGAGAAUAGGUAAGGGAGGGACAGGGACAAGACUAAAGACUUUUACCAAUUAUCCCUGAAAACUACUAAAAUUUAUCAUUGGAACUGUUUGACAGAUAUGUGAUUCGUCGGAGAAUCAGAUCGCAUUGGAAGCCUCAAACUUUACUUCUCAAACAAGAGGGAAGUUGAAGGGGUCCAAAAUCAUACUGGAAAGGUAAAAGGACUAUUGGAUGCAUCCUUUUCUGCCAUUUGUUGUUUGAAGCUUUGUGUACCCUGUGUUUCUCAAGUAUUUGUGGCAUAUUUGUGUUUGUACUCUUUAUUUCGGGUCUUUCUGGCUGUGGAAUGACUUUCUAGCUUUAUUUUGUUUUAUAUCUUGUAUACAGCAUGCUACCUAAAAUAGUACCAUCUACGUUAGAGCCAUAGCACAAGCAGUUUACACUUUCUCUUUACACUGUUGUUACAGCUAAAUAAAAGUUCAUUGUCAGUCCGGGUACAUUAAUUCCAAUCUGGCCCUUGAACGAUCUGACAUAAGUAAGCUAAACUGAAAUAUGUAAUUGGUGGUGUCCUCAAAUAAAUAUAUUGCUAAAGACCCAGAUAAAAUAAUAGAAGAUCCGCUCAAGUUACAUUUUUCUUAAUAAUGAUUCUGUUUAUUUUGUAAACGGCGCAUGCCCGUGAUUAUGCUCGUUAAACAUUUUACAUGCCUUUGGAGCUUGCAGAGUGAUGGAGGAUAUGGUCAAGGCUAAGGGAGAACACCUGAAGAGUUAUGACAGAUAUAUAAAAGAAUUUCACAAAAGGAACAAUCAAAUUCAUCAGGAAAAGCUGGAUAUGACCCAACGAGAAAAGCUCAGUCUGCUUAAGUUUGAUGAAGCUGAAGGCUAUCUUUGCAUUGUCCAAGUGAGUCUUGUUUACUUUUACUUUUUUGCUUAUAUAUUUUCAACUCAACCCUUCAUUCUAGUUUCUUAAUAUUUGUUGGACUAGGUACCUGGCACUUCUGAUAAGUAUAUUGCUACUUUGUAGGACGCAAAGUGUGACCAUGUUAUGCAACUUAGGCGGGAAACUGAGAAAUGUUUAUCCCGGUUACAAGUUGACAACUCUUUGGAUGGCAGUGGACCUUAUGUCUUUUUGAAGAAAAUUGAAGAUGAGAUCUACGAGCCGCAGGUUUUAUAUCCCUUGCUUUCAGUCUUUUUUAGAUGUAUUUUGGAGGUUUUUAUCUGUAAUAUACUGGCUUGCAUUCUUUAGAUCUGCUCGGUACUCAACUCUGUUAUGGAGUUGACGAAUACAUGCAACCAGAUACAUUAUAGCCAACUUCAUAUUGAGGAGGUGGGAUGUGAUUCUUUCAUUUGCCACAAUUUGGUUAUUUUUGUUUCUUCAUAGGCAUUAUUAGCCAUCUUGUUUUUCUCUGUAGAUUGAGGGUUAUCUGCAUAGUCACUAUCUGCCAUUUGUUGUGAGGCUCGCUGAAAAAAUUGAAAGGUUGGACAAAUUCAUAUCCAAACUCAAAGCUACUGGCCAUAGGGUAAGUGUAAUAUCCUAAUUUCUGUGUAUGGUAAAAGUUCUAAUGGUUUGCACAAAUUUCCUAAUUUCUAUGUAUGGCCUACUUUAGUCACACAUAUGGAAAAACGUCGUGGUUACAUAAUGCCUAUUGGUUUUACCUUUGUGAGCUAUGCACCUUACUUACGUACCACAAUUGCAAUGUAGCAUACCAUUUAGACAGUUGAAUUUGGUUAUAAGUUAUGACAUGUUUAUUUCAAUAGGUAAAUGCUACUGAGCCUUAUAAACUGAUCGUUCUUAUAUAAAAAAUUGUAGCGCCAAUUAUAAUGAUCUCUCUGAAGUUAUUGUUUUAUUGGUAUACUUAUGUCAAACAUUUGCUUCAUGGUUGGGAGUUACAAAUUCCAACCAUAGAUACCACAGCUGAUAUGCUAAGCUAUUUAUCGUCGUAAAAAAAUAAUUAACUGUAAAACGACUUACAUUUAUAAAGGUGGGAGUGAAUUAUAUGUGUUAGUGUAGGUUUAUUAGGAUUACUUUAUCCUACAACUUAGUUAAAGUUCCCUUUCUCUUGUUUUUGAACACCCAUAUUAGUUUUUUUUCCGAACAUGAACACUUAUAUUAGUUAUAAAGCUAAAUCAAGCAUUCCUGGUUAUUUUUGUUUCUUUCUGGCCAUUAUCAACCAUCUUGAUUCUCUAUGCAGGUUGAGGAUUGUGCACCUGGUCUCUAUCUUCCUUCUGUUAUGAGGCUGGGUGCAAAACUUGAAAUGCUGGAGACAUUGGUAUCCAAACUAAAAGCUGCUUCCCAUAAGGUAUCUGAACUUUAAUGGUAUUUUGGUAGGUUUGCACUACUCUGCUAAUUUAUGAGUGUGACCUACUUUAGUCACACAUGUGGAAAAGAUGUUGUGGGGAUAUAAUGCAUAAUGGUUAUAUCCUUGUGAGCUAUGCACCUUCACCUUUGGAUCAUAAUUGCAACAUAGCAUUAACAUCCAGAUAUCGUUGAAUUUGGUUAAAAAUUAUGAAGGAUUUACUUUAAUGGGAAAUUGCUACUGAGCCUUUUAAACUGAUCGAUUGUUAUUUAAAUGAAUUAGGCACUAAUCAUAAGGGUCUCACUGAGAUUAUUGUUUUAUUCGUAGAUGUAUGCCAAACUUUGCUUUAUGGUUGGAAGUUGCAAAUUCCAAACUUUAGAUCGUGUCAAAUAGACAUGCUUUUGACAUACUUGAGUGUGUUCCAUUCUUCAUACCUAAUUUAACUUUUGUACCUUAGCUGACUUUGAUCUGCUUGUUUCAGUCCGAUUAUCGACAUUUCCAAGAAGCUCUGCGCAAAUGUAUUUCACUUUACAAUGUGGUAUGUAUAGUUUUGUACAUGCCAUCGAUAUCAUUGUCGAGGAAUUGGAGUUUCUAUCUAGUUUUUCACUUCACCUGCAACUGGAUCUUUCUCUUUUUUUGAAACAAAGAAAAAUUGGUUUGGAAGGGCAUGCAUAGAUGUCCAGGCAAUGGGAGAACGCUGCUUUGAUCUUUUCUGUGGGUCUUUGUCUGGAGGAUUUCACAACUGGGUACAUUUAAUUUUUUUGGAAACUUGGUUGAAAUACAUUCCAACGAUGUCUGUUAGCUGACUAUUGAAAGAAUAAUUGAUCUAUUUUCUUUCAUCUGUCCCCUUAUUCCCCUUCCGCCCCUUUUUUAGCUGCAUUUCUUAUGACACCUAACUUACUGAAAUGUGAUUACUAAUGAAAAUUCAAUUUCAGUGUGUCCGAAUUGUAGGAUUGACCUUUUUCAAUUCAUCUUUUGCAGGCAACAACUUCAAGCCGGGCCGUGCUGAUCCUCAAGCAGUGCAGACUGACAGAAGACAAGCAUGCAGAGCUUCUGCCUAUUGAGUGGACAGACAACAUCUGACUAUGUACGCUGACAGUUGUGAGCCGAAAAGUUAGCGUCUCGUUGCAAACUUUUUAGGUGAAGCUGCUGCGUUAACUUGAUUGACCAACAUUAGAGUUUCAUUUUGAACUUGUGGCACCUUCUUUAUGCAUUAAAAUAAAAUACUCUCUCUGACCUUGUUUAUAAGAUGUUUUAGCUUUGUCUUAAAAGUUUGACCAAGUUUGUGGAAAAAUAUAUUUAUGUCUACAAUAUGAAAUAGGUAUAUUAUAAAGAUAUAUAUCAUCACGGAUUUAAUAAAACUAUUUAGAGUUGUUGAUGUUGAAGAUAAUUAUAUAAACUUGAUUAAACUGACUUGGGAUAAAGUUAUAACAUCUUAUAAAAAGGAACCGAGAUAGUAGCAGUCUAGAUUAGAGCAUCUCCAGCCGGGCCCCCGAAAGACCCUCCAAACACUAAAUGGGGGUGCCGGCGCUGAAAAACUCACCCGGACCACUCCCCUAAAUUGAAAAAGUAGCCGGCGCGGUCCAAGAAUUCAGUCGGCACUCCCAGCCCGCUCCCUACUCGGAGGGGGGGGGGGGGGGGGGCACGGGACAACACUGUCGGUGAGACAAACUAAAUUGAGGUACCGACGUUUGGGGGUGCGGUUGGGUGCCGGUUUCAUCCCAAACGAAUUGUUUGCGUCGACAUCUCCCCAUAUGGCCAUGCGCCGGACGAUUUAGGGAGAGACGAGUGAAGGUGAUCUUAUAUCAGGAGCAACAUCUUUAAAAGAAUGGAAAACUGCGAGCUCACUGUCACGUGGUAGGGAUGUGUUCAGACAGUUCAGUGAGAGUUGAGAAUGUUGGCAAUAGAAGCCAAGGGAACAUGAAGCCUAGUACAUACAACGAAGGAGAUCCGUGUCAGCCAGCUUGCGCUAGGUAGUGACCACAUUGUAUGUGUGGUUACAGAGAUAAGCCAACUUUAUUGCAUAGUUUGAGAGUUACAGAUACGUAUCAGUUGGCUACGGCUGCAACCAGAAGUCAUAACUUCCCAUUGAUCAUCCUAAUUAAAGAAGUGGGUAGCCUUGAAGAUGACUUGAAAAGAAAAACUCUUCAUCUCUUGAAAAUAAUAUCAUUAUUUUCCUCCGUCCAUGAAUAAGUGACUGAUACGGGUGCGGGUGGCCCGAUCUUUCGAUGAGAUUGAUAACUCUCGAUUUGGGUAGGAGGUGACGUUGACGAUCCGACUACGGCCUAGGAGGCAGCGCCUUAGCAAUCGAUACACCAACUCCAGAGGGUUAUUGAUCACGCGGGGGCACGAUCAACCUGACCACGAAGGUCUUUGUUCCUGCAAGCAAUCGAAGAACAAGCAAGAACAAGAUAAAUAGCGGAUGCAAUCUAAAAUUGCGAGUAUACUAUAUCAAACCAAUGUCUCAACGAGACGAUAAGUUGGGGUUCCGAAAGCGGUAAAACAGGUGGUCUAACCGACACACGCGAUUACACGAAGUAGUAGCGAUGGCUAACUUUUAACUAAACAAAAACCCAAGGCUCCUUAGGGGGGCUCAUGGGGUAUAUAAAGGAGGAGGGAGAGAUAUUUUCGUCCACCUUGAAUAAGGAGUCCGAAAUCCAACUCUAUCUCUAACUUUCCUAACAAACUACAACUCUUUAGGAAACAAAAAAACAGAUCCGUCAGCUUGUUUUGUCCGCCACGGUCAGCACGAGUCGAAUCUCUUGAUGGGGCCAGAUCCGUUGGAAAGGUCUUGUAAUUACCUUUCCAACAAGUACUUGUUUGCUUGAUUUGGACUCCGGAUGCGGCCUGGGUGAUUAAAACAAAUUCGGGUCUCCUGGCAGUUCGGACCCGAAUCGGAUUCAACUUUAAUUCGUGAUAUCUUUCUCUAGCAAGCUCCGAAUCAUGUGCCGUUUGAUUUGUUGCAAAGUACACUUGAAAUCCUUCCCUCUCAGCUGUAUGAAUGCUUGAUUCUUGUUGGCCCUCCCGUUCGCCUUCAUCGUAUCUCAUCUUCACCUUGGACUUGAAAAGCUCGACAAGAUGCCUACGUAAUAAAACGAGACAAGAUAGUAGUAGCUCCGCCUCUUCAUAAAUAUGACAAUGAAAACAAUUACUACUUGAAUUCACCUGAUUAUAAAUCUUGUCAAAUAUUAUAGAAUUGAGGGCACCAAAGGUCGUAUCCAUGGUUAGCAUGUCCAUAUCAGUGACUACGACUUGUUUAUAUUUUCAUGUAUCUAAAUACUAUAAUACGUCUAAAUAAAUAUGAAUCUAAACCAAUCCGAGUCACUUAUUUCCGGACAGAGGGGGUAUGCAAUUUCAAAUAGCCCAACGAAAUGCAGAAACUCCCACACACAUGUCAGUCUUUUUGUCAACUCCAUCAAACCAGUUCACAAAUAUAUUUGUGACAUUAGUUGGUGGGGGUAGAUUGCACGAAAUGUGGACUAUCGGCGGUGCUCUUGGCGCGGCAUUAAACGGCGGGCUCUUCCAGGUCAUCUUGUCGGCUCGUGAUGCAGCUUCUGCGAUUCUGAGUUGUCCUGCGGCUUCGACGAGGGAUUUGCAUUUGCAGGUUUGUACAGUCUUCUGCAGGCGUGCUUUAUGGCGCCACUCCUUCAUGGUGUGUGCGACGACGGCUAUCUUUGCAGGUUGGUUGGCCGGGUGUGAGGAGAGGGUGGACCAUCCUAGGCGAAAGCCGAGCUCUGGCUUCGGCUGGGGCCAAUGAUGGCGACACUCAUGGACGCCGUUCACUUUCUUGAAGGCAUCAUUGUUCUCGCCUUCUACUCUCUCUUCGCUGGUCGAGCUUCGGGGGAAACCUCGGAUCCAGUGAUGGAUCAGAGGAUGGUGACGCGCUGUGCGCCGCUUCCCUCCUUGGUGCCAUGGCAUUUGGAGUUCGCAUUUGGCAAUGUGUCACUGCUACGGCUAUGGAUCGAGGCAUUGCCGCCUCUAGGUCGCCAUGAGAGGAACGAGACGAAAGAUUUUUUUUCGCCGAUCAGGGAAAGAAACCACGAGUGAACAGAUGAGCCCAGAUACGUGACAUGGACGCAUGUGAGAUUGGCAACCAACAGAGCUAACGCAGGUAUAGCUGGCCAUCGGGCCGACCCCAGUUAAACGAGCUUUGCCCGGUUCGCUCAAGACCGGCCCAAAAAUGCCACCUCGAGGCCCAGGCACGGCAGAGCGCCUGGCCGGCCAGCCCAGGCCCGUUAAGUCCGACGUACCCAACACAUCACAUGGGCUAAGUUAUAGGAAAAAAUGUGGAAAAAGGAUUGGGCUGCGCCAGAAAGAGGAAAAAUGUUGGGCCAAAAGAGAAAAGAUGUUGGAUUGGGCCAUAAUUUAACGAGAUAAUGGACCAAAUAUAUAAAAUCCAAAAAAAAAGAAAACAUAAACGGAUAGAGCCAGCCCGAGGGCUCAGGGUUGAGGCCCAGGAGUAUAGCUAGCCAGUGGGCCAGGCAAAAAAAAAAAGCCACGAGCCUGCCAUGCUUGGCCUGGCCAAGAUCUAAACGGGCCGGCCCGUUUAUCCUAACAUGUGGGACCCACCUUGUACUAGAGAAUAAUAUAAAGGAAAAUAGGAUCCACAAAUAAUAGAGAGCAAAAAAUAUAACGACACAAAGAGUUGAACCCGAAUAUACAAGUGGCACAAGCUAACCACCAAGCCACAAUUGUCGCACCAGUGGCCCACGGGGUCUUACUGAUGCUAGACGCGUGGGUCGCAACGGCCAAGAUCCCGCAAGGUCAGCUUCCCGAGCAGGGCGAGCCCAGGGAGCUCCCCCCGCAAGGCCAAUCGGCAGGCCUACCAGAGACACUCACUGGCAAGACCAUCACAUUGGAGGUUGAGAGUUCUGACACCAUUGACAACGUCAAAGCCAAGAUCUAGAGCAAGAAGGAUACCUUCCCGCAACUGCAGCCCGAGAAGUGUCGUCCCGACAAGGUCAAGGCAUGCUAUUCCCCGCAACGUUCGUAGCCCGAAUAGUGGAGCUCCUCCCACCAACCCUCGCCUUGGGUUUAUAAGUGGGGCAAGAGAACAGUUUCAAGACAGGGCAUUAAAUGCUCCGACAGAUGCUAGAGCGGCGGGUCUAGUCUUACACAGUAAGGCUACAACAGUUACCCUGUAGCACGUUUUAUUCACUGUAUACAGUAGUUUGGGCGUUGCAUGAAGCACAAUGUGGCUCAACAGGGCUACAUUUCUUGAUCCCUUGACACACAGCUAGCUAACGUCUCACACGAUAAACACUGGUACCUGUGGUAUCCCCUUGAGUAUAAAAGGAGGAUUAGUGCCAUUGGUAAACGGAAUCCAACAUUUUAGCCAAGUGAGUAGACUCGUAGAGAGAGAAGUGGCAAAGACCCCCGGCAACGUGUAAUCCAACCAAAACCCACUGAAUACGAAACCAGAAGCAGGACGUAGGGUUUUACACCUCAGGAUGGCCCGAACCUGGGUAAAUCCACCGUGUGUCACACUUCGUGUCUUUGGCCACGCCGGCGAUCGCCGGAGCGAUCCCCUUCGCCCUCCACCGAACUAAAAAUAGCGUGCACGGCAUCCCUGGUGCCGGAGUUUCGGGCUCCGACAUCUGGCGCGCCAGGUACAUAGGGGGGCGUGCGGAGAGUUUUUGGUGACCGCCGGCGUCAUCGUCUUCACCAGCUCGCCAUGCCGCCCAAGAAGGCAGACGAGCCCAGGAUCGACCCGCGUGACUUGCUUGCCACGCGCACUCGGUCACACGACGUCGCGCGGGCGUCGCAGGAUCAUGGGGAUCACGGGUCCCCACAACAUCAGCCACAUCAACAGCCACAACAGCAACCGCUGCUGCCCCCGCCAGCCCCUCGACCGUCGGUGGACAACCGACCGAGGGGACCUUCGACACCCAGCGCCGAGGCCAGCCGCACGAACGACGCCAUCGUCGGUCGUGUCAAUCAGCAAGGUCACUCGCGGGCAGAUGGGGAGCAGUGACAUUCGCUCCAAAACCCAUCCGCGUCGCGUGCGACGCCCUCCGGCUCUCUACCCCCGCGACGGGGAGCCCAAGGAGAACAGGCGGACGACAAUGGGUUAGGACACCGACCGCCUCCUGCCCGUACGCGAGCAGAGGCCAUCGCGGCCGCGCGUGUCAUGGUGCGCUAUGAGCCACCACGGGACAUGCCAGCGCACGACGUGUGGAGUGCUGAGCUUGGACGCUCUCCUCGCCAUGGCUAACCGCCGCCCGGAAGGGGCGUGCGACCCGUCUGGCUCCCGUUCUGGAACGAGCCAGGGGCUCGGUUCAGGACGAGGCCAAGACCCGAGGCACAGGGAUCCACCCCGCGCCUCCGGCCAACGCGCCCCGCUCACCGGGGAGCAAACCGACGUCGACCCCGGCGACUACUCGGUUGAUUCCUCACCAACCGUCACGCCGAUCGAUGCCCGGGGCGUCCUGAACGCCGGACGUGGAGAAGACUUGCGCCAGUGACUACAACGCCGGCAAUAGCGUGAGUUUAAGCGCAAUCGGUCCGAGGAGCAAGGAGAUGUUCCGCUCGGCGUCGACGACGGCUGCACCGCGUUUACCCGCGAGCUGCGCCAGGUGACAUGGCCCCGCAAGUUCCAAGCGCCUGCGCUUGGUACUUAUGACGGGACCGUGAAUUCCAAGGAUUUCCUCCUGACCUACACGUCAGGCAUGCACGCCAUUGGCGCCGAUGAUAAGGUCAAGGUCAACUGGUUCACGAUGGUUCUGAAAGAAUCAGCGAGGACCUGGUUGCUACUUAAUUCUUGUUUACAAAAUAUAAAUAUAGUUUCAGACGAAUGGAGUGGAUUUGCUACUUAAUAUUCCGGUGAUCCGUGAAAAAACAACGAAAAAUUGUCAGGUCGUACCAUAUUUAUCCUAAGUUUGACAUCAUACACAUAAAUAUUUGUCUAGCAUAUUGAGCCUACGGGCCUCUAAUCACUCUGUAGUUUUGUCCCUAACCCAUUAUACAUACCCAUCUCAUUAAAUCUUAGCCAUCAGAUAUAAGAUCAAUUAAGAGAUAAUAUGAACUUAUUAAAAAAUUGUAUAUUUUUGUGCUGAAGAGAUGGGAUUGGGAUCUUCGAGGGCAAUAAAAUUGUGCGAGCAACAACAAAAUUAUCGUCCCAUCUCGUAAUGGUCAAUGUGCUAAGUACCUUUCAGCCGUCGUGACCACCGCUUCCUGCAUACAUGCCUGUCUCGGCGGCCAGCUCGAAUUGGCGUUCAAUUGAUUGGAAUCUGGUGAGUCGAUCGAUUGACGUCGCGUUGCGUUUGCCGCCGCACGGCGUUUUGCGUUGUCGCUUCCCGCCGGAUUGCCUGGGCUCGUAGUAGAUCUCACGGGAUUGUGUUCGGUAGAGCAAUAGAGCUUAAACAUGAUGGCUAAUACAGAAUUCCGUUUAUGCUGAGCGAACCGUGAUCGUGUUGUCGCAACGGAGAAAAAGAAUAGUGGUGGAGACGGACAGAGACACUAUUGAAAAGCGUGCAACUUUUAAUCUCAACCGUUAUGCCAACGUGACAUAUUUAGACGGGUGUUUCCUUUUAAUGGUUUAGCCCAGCGUAUCAUCGAACAAACAUUUUGUAAGACUCGUAGAUCUAACGGCUGAAAAUAUAGGAAAAGAAGUACCAGCAUACAUUGUUUUGUACAUUCCCAUUUCAAGACCUUCGAAAGUUGAGAAACAUGCAUUUUUGUAACUGUAUCUGUGAGAAAAGCUACCACUCUUUAUAUCUGUAUAUUUUUUAUCUGAAUCAUAAACUGUACAAUUGCUUAGCUUUUAACCAGGCACACCCAGCAAUUAUGUUUCCUCGUGCACUAAACUAUACUGGUACCCAGAACAAUAAGUCCCAUUGACUAAUCGGUAAACAGUGUGGUAAUAGCACACCAGGUUAGGGGUUUGAAAAUGAAGGAUGGAUACCUUUUUCUUAACAGUAAAAGUAUAUGCAUUGACAACUUGUAGACAUGUAAAAAGUUCAGUUCUGUUUGUUUUUUUUUUUUUGCUAAUUAUGCAUCAUCAUAAGAUCCUUGAUCCCUGUUCAACAACGUCUCAGGCAAACUAGUUCACUGCAACCAUAUAUGCCAUGCUCAUGACAUUGACGGAGUUCUUAGUCACUUUUUAUUGUCCGUACUUUUGAGAAAGUGUAAUCUACUAAUCUAUAGAAUGUUUUUAUGUAAACUAGGUUUACGGAGGAGUCGGAGGACAAUGUUUCUCCAGUGGACAUCGCUGUACGGCAGCCUGAUGGCACAAGGAAGAGACGUUUGAGAUCAGAACCAGUUGAUGAAAUCCGUGAUAGGCAGCACCAGUAGGUUGCUGCUUUGGUGGACAAGUACAACGAGGAUAACCAUCUUUCCGGGGUUAAUUUGCUCUCUGCCCCUCCCUCCUGCUCUCAUUUUCUGCCCUGUUUUUCAUUCAUUCAUACUGAUUAAUGGCUCACUGAAUCCAUGCUUAUUGUGUUAGGAUCUUGCAUAUGCUCUCAAAGAUGUGUUGCCAUACCAAAUCGAUUUGUGAGGGUGAUAUCUACAAGUGCUACCAUCAUAUCAAUUUCACUGCAAAGCCUGAAGGAGCAGUUUGUUACAAUCUCUUUUUUGCUGAAGUCAUAUUUAUGGAAGGAGAAUCUGAAGAAUUACCUGUCAGCUGUUUAUGCAGUCUUAAACCUACUGAUAAUGGUAUAUACUCUUAUCUUACUUACCUACUUGUCGGUAUUCUAUACUCUUAUCAUGUGUCAGAUAGUUUUCUAAAUGUGUUUCUGGCUCUAAUCUUUACUGCGUUUCCCAUAAAAAAAAUAUUUACUGCGUUAACCUAUUUGUUUGCCCUUUUUCAACUUAUCCAUUAUACUUGAGCUUUACAUUUUUAAACAUCUCUUAUCGUGUACAGCCAUGUGCAGUGACCAGCUAUGCAUGUUUUGCUACAUUAUAUCAAUCAAUUUUUCGUGUGCCUGGUUUGUUAUAUGGCAGUUACUGACAAAUUUCCCUUUGUUGCUUAUCUUUCAAAAGUAAGGUCACUGCUUUGGUUGCCAAAACAAUGGAAAUGCUGAUAUGAAGCACCCCACAGACGUUGGUUACUCUGGUGGCCAUGUAAUGAACACAAUUUUUCCAUUUAAUGGACCUAGGAUACCGGCCAGAUACUUUGACGACGACAACGUACGUGCAAUUGUUUAUCUUUUAGCAACCUAAUACGGUUUAGCAUUUUGUUGCUUCGUUCAUUUCUGAUGACAUGUCUUCUGCAGUUGGAAGCUCAGGAGGCUACUUUAAGAAGAGAUCUUCAGAUCUGGGCAGCAUUACGGUCACCCUCUGCAAAACUGAACCGGAAACCGAAAAAAAAUAACCGAAACCGAACAGAAAUUCCGGUUUUCCCGGUUUUCGGUUUCGGGUCCAGUUUCAGGAAAGCCGAACCCAAUGACUUUCGGUUUUUAGGUUAGAAAACCACCGGUUUUCGGUAACCGAAAUGACCGAAACCCACCCCGAGUGAAAGAAAAAUUUAGAAACCUGGGGAGUCGAACUCCCAGAUACUUUGACGACGACAACAUACGUGCGAUUGUUUAUCUUUUAGCAAGCUAAUACGGUUAGCAUUUUGUUGCUUCGUUCAUUUCUGAUGACAUGUCUUCUGCAGUUGGAAGUUCAGGAGGCUACUUUAAGAAGAGAUCUUCAGGUCUGGGCAGCAUUACGGUCACCCUCUGCAAAACCGAACCGGAAACCGAAAAAAAAAUAACCGGAACCAAACAGAAGUUCCGGUUUCCCCGGUUUUCGGUUUUGGGUCAGGUUUCAUGAAAGCCAAACCCAAUGAUUUUCGGUUUUUAGGUUAGAAAACCACCGGUUUUCGGUUUAAACUGAAAUAACCGAAACCCACCCAAGUGAAAGAAAAAUUUGGAAACCUGGGGAGUCGAACUCCCGUCCUCUGCCUCCCCGCUGCCCCUCCGAGCCAGUUGACUAAGAAAUGUUCGCAUAUUUGUUUAGGAAAACAUGUUUUUAACUAGUUCAUCUGUCGGGACUUUUAGUUUCCCUUGGGUUGUUGCUGUUGGGCCGAGUAUGCUAGUAUGACAACAAUAUGUUCAAUUAUAUUUUCUCUUGGGCCGUUGCAUAUUGGUGAUUUCAUCAUCAUUGUUGUCAGAAAACACUAAUAUACGUUCAAUAUGUUCAAUUGGGAGAGUGUACUAGUUAGUAGCAUUAUACAUGCUCUUGACAACAUAUUUUAUAUUGAUGUUUGAAUUUAGGUGUAACAACACGUUAUGUGUUGCUUAAAAAUUCGAGUCAAUUUUGAUUAUUUGGUUAAAGCCGAAACCGAAUGGUUAAAACCAAAACCUAACCGUAUUAACCAAGUAUACAAACCUAUUAACCGAAUAACCGUAUUAACCGACCAAACGCAUACCCUGACAUUACGUAGGGGAUUUUCUGCACUCGGUGGCCAACACACCCGGAAUCUUUGGCCGUUGAAGCUGUCAUCUGUAUCUGUGCCGAAAUAAAUGGACAUCUUUGUUAAAUCAAUAUACAUUCUAAAUACACUGCAAGAAUACGGGCCCGCCACGUUGGCUUCCCCCAAUCGACCAACCCACGACCCCCUUUCUCUCUCGAUCACUCCAGGCUGCGCCGCUUCUUCUUCCACGAAGCCGGCGGCCAGAUCCGGAGCAGAAGCUUCUUCCCCGAGUCCGGCAGGCCGACGGCGCCACCUAGCAUUCCCUCCUCCGAACGCCCCAAGCAUUCCAUCAUUCGUCCCUGCAGCUCACCGCUGCCUCUAGCCGCCGUCGGCGGCACAAGUACGGCCGGAGUUCACGCUGGCUAGCUCUGGCGACGGUGUUCACGUCGAGAACUUUCUCCCAUGGUGCUUUAUACGGCGACAUGCGGGCGGCAUGGAGCCUGGCCAAGGAGGUGAAGUUCCGGCCGAUCCAUAAUAACCUUUUCUCGGUGCAGUUCUCCUGUUUGGCAGAUUGGGAACGUGUGAUGCAAGGGGGUCCGUGGCUCUUCCGUAGAUGCCCGGUGUUGAUGGCGGAGUAUGAUGGCUGGGGAGAUGUUGAUGCUGUGGAGCUGGUCAAGUUUCCAGCGUGGGUACAAGUGCUUGAUCUGAAGGAGAAGAUUCAAACCGGUAAUAUUGCAAAGCAGCUCUCCAGGCGUGCCGGCGAGUUCGUUGCGCUGGAUGAGCAUUCGGUAAUGGGUGCUGGUGGGGGCGUACGAGUAAGGGUGUUCACCGUGGGAGGCCGGAGUGGGAGAAGAGGGCGAGGGCGGGCCGGCGUGGCGGGCGAGCUCGCCGGAGCUGCAGGUGAAGGGGGGAGGGGCGGCUUGGGUGGAGAUGAGGUGGGAACCCGGACCAGGCCGGCUGGCGGAUGGAGGGACGGAGAAGCGGGCGGCGAGGCCCAGGCCAGAGGCGGCCUGCCGAGGCCAGAAGCGGGAGGCGGAGCGGCCCGGCGAGGGAGGAGGAGGGGAAGGGGGAGAGAGAUAUUUCGGUGGGGGCUGGGGAGAGAGAAGUGAGGGAGAAGGCUGGCAAGUGGCAACGCCCAUGGUGGGGCCAAUGGGUGCCGUAUACGGUUUGAAAUACAUAUAAAGGGAGAUGGCGGAUCUCUCAACGCGGUUUGCACGGUACAUAUUGAGGGUGCGAUCGCCACCGGGCGCAAGAUGACAUUUCCCCAGUUCUUGUCGUUAUUGUAUCAUUUAUAGUUGCGUAAUGUUGCUUGCUUGAUGUGGUUAGUCCUUCUUGUGUAUCUCUAUUUUUGUAGUGCCUUAAUGAUCCACAUCGGAUGAAUACAUUGCCUGGCAGUAAGGCUACGGAGACCACUGAUCAUCAUAAUGUUGAUAUUUCUUAGAAGUAGACCAUGGUAGCUUGCUAUUUCCUGUUGCUACGACAAAAGACAUUUGGUUUGAGAUGGACAUAUUUUAAAGAUACGCUUAAUCAAGUAGCUAGUCUCUCGAUUCCACCGUCACCCGUGCGGUUGUACACGCUUGUGUUUGCUUAUCUUAGGAAAUACUUCCUCCGUCACAUAUUUUUAUACCAUUAAAAAAAGGAAGUAUAAGACUGGCACGAGAGACCGAACUGCUAAGAAAAAUCGCUAAAAUUAAGAAGUAAAAACAACCCACAGAAAAACAAGAAGGCAAAACCAGAAUAAAACAGAGUCGCACACAAUCCAUCCAAAUGACAAGUUUUGCAGUCGCUAUCAUGCUGAUCAUGCAGUGCAUGUGCAGCUACAAAUAUAGGAGUAGUACUGGGUACGCAAACAAGCACGGUUCAAAGUUCAAAAUAAAACUGGACGAAAGUGCCAUGCGUGACGAUCAAAGUCAUAAAAAAACGAAGACGCGCACGUCAGGUUGCCAGGUUGCCGGCGGCAUUGGCGCCGCGGGAGAGGAAGACCCGCUGGAGGUGCUGCUUGCCGGCGUAGUGCUCCUUGACGUUGCGCUGGGUGAGGAGUGGCACCUUGCAGACGUCGCAGCGGACGUCCAUCUCCCCGGCGGCGUAGGCCACCUUGUUCCGGUGCUUCCUCCCCUUCUCGUGCUGCUUCAGGUGGACCGCCGUCAUGCACCGGAUGUCGCACACGGCGCAGAGCACGGACGGCAUCUUGAACGACGCUGCUGCUGCCGGCUUGGCUGCCGCGGACCUUGUGUGAAGCUGGUGGGGCUUGCUGCUGCUGCUGCCGUUCACCGCCGGCGGCGGCGGAGGAGGAGCUCUGGCCGGGGCCACCUGGGCCCGGGGAGCGGUUGGUGCAGCCGCAGCCGCUGGUGAUGGGGGAGCACCGUGCUGCCGCGGCGCCCUUUGCCACUGUGGUUGUGCUGCCUGGUGUUGCUUCGGCGGUGGCGGAGCCUGCGCCGGCGCCACGUGGUACUGCAGCGGCGGCGGUGGUUGAGCCGGUGCCGCCUGGUACUGCCUCUGCGGUGGCUGCAUCAGCGCCAGCAACUGCUGGUAUGGCCUCUGCGGUGGAUGCAUCUGGACCGGCGCCGGCUGGUACUGCCUCUGCGGUAUUGGCGCCGGCGGCGCCUGGUACUGCCUCUGAGGUGAUUGCGGUUGCGGCAGGUACUGAGGUGGCUGCGCCGGCUCGUACUGCCUUUGCGGUGGCUGCGCCUGGUACUGCUUCUGUGGAGGCCGGCGAACGCCGGAGAAACCUGGGGGAGGUCCGCUAGCCGGCCUCUUCGGCCACGUGGAAUGAGCAGGUGCAGGCGAAGCCGGAGGUGGUGGCGGUGGCGGCGGCGGCGGCUGGACCUGCGAAAAGAAAAUUGCGAUGAGUAAGAAAAAUCAUUGGCAUGCAAAUAUACAACGGACAUUGAUUGAAAAUUUUAGAGUAGAUUAAGAGGUCAAGUUGUGCUUCUUCGCAUGCACGGUUCAUUAAUUUCUCCUCAAUUCGACGUGGAGUAGCAAGAAAUACUGUAUGAUCUAUUCUUGGGCCUACGGGUCAACAUGUUAAGUACGUACUGUUAGUAGAUUCCAACUAGUACAUAGUCUCUUCUGUUUCCCAUUUUCCAUGUGUUCUCGUGAUGAGCUAAUCGUGUGGAGGGGAUUUGGUUUGUAACACUGAAUGCAGACUAGUAGCUGUGCUGAAAUAUCAUCAGAGUACACAGGACUGACAGGAACUCAACCAAAGCCAUCAAUGGAAAAAAUGCACUACAGAUUUUGAAACUGUGUUUUUCAUUAGAACAAAUUGCAGAACUAUCUUUUGUUUUUGUUUCAAUAGGAAGACGCUGCCUUUAAUUCUAACAUUUUCCUCUGAACUGUCUCUCCUAAGUGUAAAGUUAAUUCUCAUUGUUCAGAAAUUUCCAGUUCGGUACUUGAGACAAGUUCAAGGACUAAGUGUAGCAUUGCUGUCAAAACUUGGUUUCUUCAGAUUGUUCAAAAAAACUCUUCGAGCUAAUAACACGUCACGUAUAAAGCACAAAACCAUCUUUUAUGACCAAUCUUAAAGUUGUGCCUUUGUUGAUGGGCGAAGUAUCACACCAAUCCUAACUAACACUUGCAUGCAAAACUUGUUAAAGCAGAAAGAUAUGAUGAUUGGUGACCAUGCAUGUACUCACCGGUGGAGGGGGAGCCGGGUGACCGGCGACACCAGAAGCGCGGCGAGCCUUGUUCUGGAACUUGCGGCGCUGUAUAGCGUUCUCCAGGAUCUGCAUGUAUUCUUCCUGAUCACUGCGGUCCUGACCUAAUGCUGGCUGCUGGUGCACCAGAGGAGGAAAAGGAACAGUAAAGAAUCAGAUGCAUGUAUGAUUUUUAGAUAAUACCACCUCCUUUCCUAAAUACAAGAACUCAUGCCAUAAGUCAAAUUUCUUAAAUUCGAACCAAGUUUAUAGAAAUAUGUAUCAACAUGCUCAAAUUCAGUAAUCACUGGAACAAGAGAAAUGUUAUUUUUGUCCUCUAACUUAUUGAGAAGUACAUAAAUCACCGCUCAAUUUACUUCUGUAUAUUUCUCGUCUUUCAGCCGUCGAGACCGGACACGACGAUGGUCCCUGAUUCCAUCCGAAGCGGCAUUAGUGCCAACAAAUCGACCCGGGGGCUAAAGCAAAGUGAUGUCCAUCUGGUGGGCUAACUUACCGAGUCUGGAGCCAGAACCAUGACAUGACGGCAUUGAUAUCGCUUCGACUUGGGGCAAGGAACUAUCCGGUUUCUAUAGUUGGGAAUAAAAAUGAUACUAAAAUAAAUUUGAGUGACCAUUUGCAUACUUUUUGAAAUCUUAAGCGACAGAGAUAUACUUUUCUUCUGGAACAAAUACAGCAGAACAUUUGGCGGUUCUCAUUUUUCUAAAAACAUUUAGUAAUUCUAAAAAAGAAUAUUUAGCAAAUUGAACUAUUUUUUCAUGUCAGUAUGAAGCGUCCACUUCUCAAUUUUAAGCCUACUGUUUUCCCUGAACUAUGUGUCUGAAAAGUACAGAAGUCUAUUGUUUCUUAAGAAAAAUCCACAUUUCAUUGUUUAAUAUGAAAAUAUUCCCUUUGGCAUUUUGUUUGAAUAACAUUUAUAACUAAAAUUUUAUGCGAACUAUAACUUUUCAGGCGGCGUAUCUGGUGAAAACCUUCAUUCGGUGCAAACCGUGCAAACUUCAUAAAAACCAUAUUUAAAAGUUUCAAAAAAAAAAUCUACAAAAAUACCAUAUGUUGGGAGUGUGAUGUUCUACAAACCUGCAAAAUUUCAAGUUCAAAAUCAAAAUCAUUUGGAAUGAAUUAAAAAGAGAAAUUUAUGAUGAAUAGUGUUAGACAUUGAAAGAUCACUAUUCAUGCAGAAUUUGUUUUUUUCACUAACCAAAUGCCAUUGAGUUUAGACUUGAAAUUUUGCACAUAUAUAAAACAUCACUUUUCUAACAUAUGUAAUUUUUUCGAGAAUUUUUUAAACCUUUUUCGAUGGAGUUUUCACAAUUUGCAUCGUAGAGGUGGUUUUCACCGGAUAUUACCAACUUUUCAUCCUACAAAUGUAGAAUAGGUAGGUCUCAAAUUGCUCUUCCAUAAUCGACGGUAACUUAAAAGCCCUAUAGUUAAGCAAUAUCGUUCGUACACUUGGAGUUUCCUUUCCAAUGCAAAAGUCCGGACUUUCAACAUAGAGAUAGUUAAACAAUAUCAGUCAAAUUUUCCGCUAUCUCUAUGUUGAAAUACAGUACCUAGCACUAAAAUUUAUGCUAAAGAACGAAAUGAUUUGUUGUUACUCGCCUGUGGAGGAGGAGAUGGGCGGUUCCUGAAGGUGUCCAUGUAGUCCUGUUGUUCCUGGUGUUGGAUCUGUCCCGGUGGAGCAACGUUGGUGUCCCCUUCGUCUUCCAGCUUGAUGACGUGAUGGAUCGGCAUUAAUUGCAGGAUCGAAGUAUUUCAAGAACUCAAAUGGACGUGAAUUGGUUUUUUCUAAUAGGAUUAUGUGGAUGUGAAGUAGUGAGAGGGUGAGUAUAAAAGAAUGGUUCACUCUCACACCUUUCGUGUUGCGCCAAAAGAUAUUUUUACUCUUGUCUCCAACAUAAUUAAUGCCUUUGAGUUUCCAGAAGAAAAAAACUAAUAUCUUUGCUAAUGGCAGGAUAAACUAUUACAGUUAAAAAGAAGUUCUGUUUCGUGCGGUCUAAUCAGGUUAUCAGGCCAAUGUGAGCCCGAAGCAGUACAACUUUCAUUUUGUUCUUCCCUUCAACGCCGCACGUCACGGUCGCCGCAACCCAAGAGCUGUACCAAGGCGUCCAAGCAGAUCGACCACGGCUGUUGCACCAACAUCCCAAAGCCAACCCGAGUCAGCCGGGCCAACGGAACUCGCCACCCAUGUCGCACAACGUCGCCACACCUACCAAGUAAAGCCACGGCCAGGGUGUGGCCGCAUCGCGUUCUGAGGCCGCGGCCCCGGCCACCAAAAAUCCUUCGAGGCCGCUGGCCCGACAACUCCAGACCCUGUCGACACUCGACAAGGCAUCGUGAGUUCGUGACACAGCCAAAAGUCCCCUUCAGCCGCAAGUGAGGAUACUCCAAAGAUGAUGUCUUCAAGGAGGACACGCCGUAGACGCUGUCGUCACCCACUCUAGCCAAUUAAGGCAAUAAACAAGGACUACUCAACGUACAUGUCAACCAAGUACCGUUUAUUAAGCCAUUUUGUGUCUGGCUGUUCAACGCAACGUUCUUUUCUAGCCUACUUCGAUAUCGGUACGGCCUUUUAACUUUUAAGAGAGAGUUUAUGAAUUGUGGAAUCCCGAAGAAGAUUAAAAAAAUGUCUGCGUGACAUGAGGAAACCGUGUUGAUUGUAUAUACAAAAAUUGUUCCUCCAAAGCACCAACCAAUAAUUUUGAUUGUUCAUGAAAACAUCCUAUAUAUACCUCCGUUCCAUAAUUCUUGCGUAAGUUUUUCUAAAAUAAGUGAACCUGUACAUCAAAACACCAGACAAAACUUUGUCAAGAAUUAUGAAACGGAGCAGAGGUAGAGACAAGCCUCAGACAAGGGUGACCAUGGCAUGGGGCUUGAAAUGUUUUCCUUUGAUAAAUUAUGAUGAUUUUGAUUGUUGUCCGCCGGGGCUUCUCGAGUUUUCCUCCUUGAUUACCUCUUCCCAAGUCACAUACAUUACAACGAUCCUUCUCUAAGUUAAUUUCUGGCUCCACUACUGGAAGCGGAGGGAGUACAAAGCUAUCAUCUUUCUAUCCUUCAUUCUCUUUUUUGGGGUCGAUCGUGUGUAAAAAAAAAAUCACGGACGUACACUCCACGCAAGUGCCAGGAUUGUAACAGUCUCUGCCCGUGCAUGUUUCGGAGCCGAUCAUGCAUGUUCAAUGACGUGAUGAUCUCUCCUCUUUUCGCUGAAGUAACGCCUUUGGUUAGCAUUGCAUUAUGCAAAACUUUUUCUGUUUUCUUCUGAAAACAAAAAGGAUACCAGGAUCGAGCUAUCGGUUUAAUUUCUAAGGAGGCUGGGUCUUUAAGAAAUAACCCAAAAAAGAAGGAAAAACGUUGAGUGGGCAGUAUCGCUGUCUGUUGUUGGCACGAUGCUGCGAGGUCCAGUUCAACCGACCGGGCAAAACCGGUCGGGCCGGUGAUCCUAAUGCAAGCCGCGUCGUCAUUUCUUUCGUCCGCUGCUGGUGGUGGUACUGUGGCAUGGCCGCAUGGCACGUUGAGCCGCGCGCAUAUGGCGGACUCGGCGGGCGCGCGGGGUCGCACCGAUGUGGGCGAGCAGCGAGAGACUGCACAAAUCGAAUUUCGGUCGAUCGAUCACCUAUUCACCUGCGCCGCGAGUGGGGAACCCGCGUACCGACGAGACGAGGUACGGAGUUUUGACCUGGUCCCGGGUUCAGUUGGGCCAGCCAGCUGCUCGUCUCGAUCCUUCCUGCCUGGCUGGCAGUUAGCGUAGAUACCUACUCCAGCUUUUUAUGUGCGAGACUCUUGAUCUCGACCGCAUGCAUGUGUGGUCCGUUGCAGCGAAGCUACGACGGUUCCGCAGUGAAAUAGAGGAUACAGAUGGACCAUCACAUGCAUGGUAUUUUGCUUUGAUUUGAAAUUCUUCUUUUUAGAUAUGAGACUGACUUAUCUAGGGAGGCCUCACGAGUCGUCCCACAAAAUCUUUUUCCCCUUUUUAACGGGGAGUUGUUGUGUUUGUCUCGAUCUUUACACGCGAUGGUCUUAGUCAAAGCUGUCAGCUCAGGUUCUGUCGAAAAGAAAAGUUGUCAGCUCAAGUUAUGUGAAACAAACAGACUACUGUAACUACCAAAGACGUUCUUUUUCUUUUGGACGUGGGCGUAUCGUGCGUGCACCUCUGGUCUCGUCUAGUGCAGAUUGAUCAAAGUCACGAUACGCAAGUACAAGUAUUUUGGUGUACACACUGGGACGUUUGGGGCUGUUUGGUUUGAAUCCAAAGUUGCCUUGCCAAAAAUUUGGCUAGCCAGAUAUUUUGUGAUGGUUUUGCUAGCCCACGAGUUGGCCAACUUUGGUCAAAAAAUCGAACUAAAGUUGGCUAUGAGACAUUAGCUAGUCAAAUAUUUGGUCAUCAUCCAAAACAAACAUCAAAGUUUGGUCGAUGAUCAAAAAUUGGUUUGGUAUGUUUUGGUAGCAAACCAAACACACCCUUGAUUCCAAAUGCUUGAUUUACAUGCGGCUGCUCCGCUGAUGCAUGGAUCAGGCACGUGCAACUGCGAACAAUAUGGUAGACGUCGCCAGGAGCAACAUAGCGCCCAGACGCCGCCACGAUGGGCAGGUCGAACGGUGCGCGGAGCGGCCCGCGCCUCGUGCUCGGAUGGAGCCGCGGAGCGAGCUUGAGGACGACUGAACAGGGGAGGGUGCCCCGGCGUCGGCCUGGCUCGUCCACGGCCACGGGGGCCGGCGGAGAGGUGGGCGCAUCCGAGACGAAGUCCACUGUCGGGACAGAAUUCAUGAUUUUUCUUUGCUGCCUAUUGAGUGCUGAUGUGGCGCCACGUGCUCCGACAAGUGGGUCCCAUUGUUAGAUUUACCGUGAUCCGUGCUCAACCGAAAGAUUAGUGUUUGGAGUGACAUGUAUCCCCUGAAUCGGUGUUGAUUCGAAUAUAUUUUUUUAGAGGUGAUUUUCUUAAAAGGAUGCUCCAAAUGUGGUGGUUUUGCGUAAUUUUCUCUUAAGAAAAUAAAAAAAAGAAAAAGAAAAACGUCGGGUGUCCAGUACCGUUAUCUGUUGUUGGCACGAUGCUGCGAGGUCCAAUUCAUCCAGGAUCCCAAUGCUAGCCGCGUCGUUGGAUUCUUUUUUUUUUAACAAACAGAGGACAUUUUCUCUAGUUUCAUUAAAGGAAACCAUGUUUCUGUUAAUACAACUAAAAUAAUCUCGAACAUUCAGAAACAAAAGCAGUGAUCUACUCUCGGCCUCUUUCACUCUGUAAUUCUUAGAUGGCAGCAACAGCUACCACCCUCCACACCCACCCACACCCGACACCAUCUUGACAGUGCAGGACGAAGUUCAAACACUUGCACUCAGCAACUUCGGCACAACAUGAAGCUCAGCAUGUCAGCCGGAGAGUAACUGGUGCCCACCCUUACGCUUAAUUGAAGGCUUCAGCCGAGACUUACCACAGCCGGCACGAGCAGCUGCGAAGCAAUUCCAGUGAUGAAAAACCUCCGCCGUGACUUGCCACAACCUCCUAGACCACUAGCAAAAAAGAUCCAGGGCAGCGUGUUCCCGCGAGCGAGCCCCUAAGUCAAACAAAUAUGAUCAAACAACAAAUAACACAUAUGAAAGCUCAUUUGACCAAUUGUUACGAAAACGCGCAUCAUGGAGACUCUUCCACAAUGUCCAGAUGAUAACUUCCAGCCUCACAAGAAGUAGGUUUGUCUCCCCUUUGUUAAAUUGCAAAAGCCGCAUAUCCAGCAACUCUUGAACAUAACAAGGAUACAUGAGAACACAAAGCUACAAUGAACAUCAUUCCACAAGAAAAGCACCAAAGAGCAAGUAAAAGGCAGAUGCUCCAUGCUUUCUUCCUUAGAGCAAAAAAGACAAUGAUCAUCCCCUUUCCCCCUCAAGUUUUCUUAACACAACUCUGGUCGGAAUGCUAUAUUUACUAACUUCUAAUUUAAAAGUUAUAGUCUCCCUUUCCGAAUUAGUCAAACUUGAAUCGCCCACCAGACAACAGAAUAAACUCUAUGAAACAUCUACAAAUAAUACCGAAAAUAAGAAGAAACAGAGUAGGAAAAUAUUAGCUAGAGGCAUGCCUCCUAAGCGAUUAUCUUGCCAAUCUGGUCUUUCCAAUCCUAUCAAACAUAUACAAUAACAAAGAAAACCUCAAUUCAAUAGGCUAUAAUUGCUUAAGGAGACAACAUAAAUUAAGAUGCUAGCACUUUCUAACUCAGACUUGCAUAGGAAAAAGAUAUCAUUUGCAUAUGGCAGAAUGACACGUCCUAAAGAUUGAAGAAUGAUCAAACCUCAUCACUUUCACACAAAACACAACUAAACUAAACUAAGAACAGUGACAAAGAAAGUUGGAUUCUUUUGUGUCCGGGAUCCCAAUACAACACGCUCGCAGCUGCAUGCAUGCAGUUGAGUUUGUCCCGGGUUCGUUUGGGUCAGCCAGCUGCUCGUCUGGAUCGCAUCCUAUCAUCCUGCCUGGCAGUAGCCGUGCCGUGCCCAGCCUUUUGUGGCCCGUGGCGUACGAUACGAGUCCCUCCCAGUCCCAGUGCGAGACCCUCCGUGAUCUCGACUGCAUGCAUGUGGGGUCCCUUGCAGCGGUGUCCCACCGAACCAAGUACUUCUACCGAACAGGGGCCAAUUGGAACCCCGAAGCAGCCGGCCAAACCUGCAAGCUGUUCUGAACACGGCCGGGCCGCGCGGCUGCCGCGACCGCUUAGCAGGGAACAGCUCGCAGAAGCAGAUUCUUCAUCUUUGCGUGACUGCUUUUUUCUUUGUGUGCCAGGUUUUACCAGCGGCAGUUUUGUCUUGAUCCAACUUUACACGCGUCAGGGCGUCAGGUUCGGUGACAGAUGCCGCGGGCAGGUCUACGAUGCCAAAAUGCUUUUCACCUGCCUUCCACGUUGAUCUGUUUUGGAAUCGGAACAGACCCGGCCACCGUCAUUGUGCCGGGUGCACGCCUCCCCUAGUCUCGUGUACUGGAGAUCGAUCGAAUGCAAAACUAUAACGUGCACGUUGCAGCAGCGAAGAUAAUCCGGCUAUUAUUUUCUCAUAGAGAGAUCCUGCUAGUCCUAUUUUUGUCCACCUAGUACUAGUUCCUUAAGUAAUAAUCCUCCAAUCCAUAAUAAGUGAAGAAAGAAUCAAUGUUAGUACUAGUUCCUUAAGUAAUUUAUUGAAAUCGACUAACAGUUUACCGUGAAGAAAGAAUCAAUAUUAGUAAUUAAACAUAAAACUGAAGAUGAGAUGCAUGCAUGACUGAAAGUCUAUAACGAAGGAACUCAAAUACACAUUAAAACAAAUUGGAAAAAACUCUGGAUGGGCAAACAGCAAAUAUAUACUGAAAUAUAAUGACAAAACAAUACUAAGAAUUAUCUGACAACUAUUUAGUAUGAGCUGAGAAUUUAUCUCAGGCACUGAAAUAAUGAGAUAAUGCUCAAAGUUAUGUCACAGAAAAACUCAAAAAACUCAAAAAUAAACUCAAAAUGAUCUGACAACUAUUUAAGAACUGCAUCUUUCCUUAGUUUAUACUCCCUCCGUCUUAUAUUAAGUGAUUUUCUAUUACAUGUAUUUAGACGUUUUUUAGACAUAUAUACAUUUAUAUUUGGACAAAAUUGAGUCACUUCGUAUGAGAGUUUUUUAGACGGAGGGAGUAUAUCAACAUAGCUGAAUGUAAUAAAGAGAAAAGUCUGGUAAUGUAGCUAGAAUAGACAACAAUGGAGUCUGUACAAGAAAACUGAAAAAUGAUCUCAUGGCAUCUCAUAUCAGAUUUGCAGAAAGAAUCAUUUAUGUUCGUUAGCUAAGCUUCACCAAAAAAACUGAAAACUUGACACACACUUCCCAAUCAAAAAAGAAAAAAAACGUGAGAUCUAAUAAGAUGCUUAGAACAGAGAAAACUGAGAAAUGGUUUGAAUGGAAAGGACUGAGGACUAAGAAAUCAAAAGAGCUAUAAGAGCUAAUUUCAUUCGUGAUACAGAAGUAGGAUAGCUCUCAUCUAAAAAGAAGUAGGAUAGCUGCUCUCUUUUUGUUUGGAACUGAAGUUGAACCUCCAAAUAUUUAGCGAUUCCAGGUGAACCUUUAGGGGGAGGUCUUACUCCAUUGGAGAACUCCAAAGAUAGAAACUGAUGGUUAUGAUAGUAGUCAAGAAACUUAAAAUUGAAAGCAUGAACAUUAAAUUUGUACAUGUGUACAAAACGACGCGACAUUUGCUCAAUGCCUACCGCAGAUAUAUGCAAUGCAUAUAUUUGCUAUAUCCAGAAGAGGCAAAAGAGCCUUAAAGGGCUUUACAAGCAAAAGCCAGCAUGAACCGCUGAUAAACUGCCGAAACUUAUCCAAACAAUCAACACUUCUGACAUAAGACUGAAAUUUAAGAUCCAUCUCAUGACAUAAAAUCAAAAUAUCAAACAGGUUCAGUUAGCUUGAUUCCCAUAUGACAUUCACUAAUCCAUCUUGCAGAUGCAGAAUAUGCAGUGAAUCAUGUAAACAGUGCUGGCUAGAACAAACGCAAGUGCACCAAACAUUCCAGGAUGAGCUGCAAACUGGGUUUGCAUCUUCACAGAACACAGAUAAAAUUUGAACACUAUAAGGAGUUUGGCACGGAGAGGGAUCCCCUGACUUCGUCUGGCACACCCUUAACUGAUCAAACACAUGCUUUUCUAACAAAUUCUUACCAACAGAUAAAAAAAGCAUUCAUGCAUGAUAAGAUUCAUAGUAUUGUGCAAAACUCGAAUGCAGGAAUUGAGCCAUCUUAUCAUUCAUGCAGGGACAAAACUAUAUAUCAGGGCACACGACGAAACAUAAAUCAGCAAACAGCGUAUGCAGAGAGAACGAGGCCUCCAGAGAGAACACCACAAUCCACCAAAAUUUCUACCGAGAUUUCAAUCAUUAAGCAGUACUCCAUCAGCCAUGAAUGCCAUCGAAAGUAUCACUCAUCACGACAACGAUACGACUGCCCACUACUGCCAAUCUCUCAUCCGAACCACUACGAACUACUAGUAAAUCCUUCCUAAAAUCGAACAGCCAAGAACAAAACGAAACGAACUCACGCAUCACUGGCCUUCGCCGUAGCCGUGAGCAGCUGGGAUCUUGGGAGAGGUCAUCGCUGACGAGGCGCAGUCGCUGAAGGGUCCACCAACGCCGCAGGUUCCGUUCAUCUGGAUGGCGGAGGCGACGGCCACCGAGGCGGCAAGGUUGGCGAGGUGGAGGCGGGGGAACGGCACGUAGACGCCGUGGACGGCGAUGCGCGAGUUGAUCACCACGUCGGACUCCUUGAUGGGUAUGUAGUUGAUGCGGACGUCGUCGGAAGCAGAACCUGCGACGUGAGUGACGACGAGGUUCUGCCCCUCGCCGGCCAGCGUGGGGAGGAUUGUGCCCGGGCGGAGGCGUAGGAGGUCGGCGCGGGUGAGGCGGUGCUCGGGGACGAUGUGGAAGCGCACCGCUGAGACGUAGUCGUGGCCUCCGCCGACGAAGAUGGCUUGGUCGUCGAGCGCGAAAACCGUCAGGUUGGCGAACCUCUCCAGCUCGGCGAACUUGACGCGCAUGGCCAGCGCCAUGAAGCCGUAGCCCCCGUCUCGGAGGCGCGCGAUGGCCUCGCGAAUCAUGAUGCGCACCACGGAUGCAGCGGUCGCGGUCGAGGUGGCGGCCGAGCGGGCGGUGAGGUGGUGCGAACCGUCGAAGCAGGAGUGCGUGAGCGGGCGCAGGAAGCCGUGGAGGCCGUGGACGACGUAGCGACCGUCGUUGUACAGCUCAGGGUGGGAUACCUCCACGCCGUCGGCGUAGAUCCUGGCGUAGUGGAUGCCGAACGGUCCGCGCUCGGAGACGAUCUUGAGGCAGAAGCCGACGGAGGCCGAAGGUAUCUUCAUGGUGGGGGCGGCGGCGAGCUCGGAGUAGGGGUAGUAGCCCAUGGCGAUGUGCUGCAGGAGGAGGUGACGCCGCGAGCACGUGGGGCAGGAGGCCUGGAGGAAGACGUCGGGAGCCGCAAAGACGGUGAUCGCCCCGGGCCACCUCGCGAGCGGGGGUGAGUUGGUGAGGAGCGGCGCGGCCGAUGCCAUCUCGUUGUAGCCCAGGGAAGUGAGCACCCGCGAGAGCUGCUGAAGCCCUUGCUCGCCAGCGGAGCUCACCUCCCGAGCGACGCUACCUUGGAUGGGAGGCGGAGGGCUCUUUGUCGCUACCGACGUCUGCUGGUUGGGGAGUGGGAGAAGCGUCGUCGUCGUGGAAGCGGCAUUCGUCUCCGACUCCUCUUGCGGCUGCCGCUGUGCCUGAGAGAUCAAAUCCGGUGCAGCGACGAGCGUAGGAGGCGGUGGGGAUGCUUGGGGUGGCACGAGCAGCCCAGGACGGGCAUCCCCGGUCGCGGCCGCCCCCAACGCCGCCAUGGCUUCUUCGCCGGAAGAAGCCUGCGCCUCGGCGGUGAAGGGGUCGACGGCGAGCAGAGACUUGCUCUCCUCAGUCUCGAGGUAGUUUUGGUGCAUGGAGGGGGUGGCGCUAGGGACGGGAUGAAAGUGGGCGGUGGCCGUGUUCGUCGGGGAACGGUGGUGGUGGUGGCGGCUCGCGGUGGUGGUCGCCGGCGAGAUCUGGUUGUGGGUGGCUAAAGCGGUGGAUAGGAUUGGGCCGAGGGGGUUGAGGAGGACGACGACGAGGAUUAGGGGAAGAGCCAUGGUUUUGGCUCGUGUUGUGAACGAGCUCUGUCUUUGGAAAUGGAGAUGGGGGGGGGGGGGGGGGGGGGGAGGGGGAUUAUAAAGCCGGACGGGAAAGGGCAUGCCCGAUGAAACACGCCGUUUGUAACGCUGUUUGCUUGUACAGGUGUGCGCAAUGACCAUCAUGCCCUUAAGGCUUGUCCAGCAAGUACGAACUCUCUAGACUCUUCAAUUUUUGCGGGAAAAGCUCCGUUGGGCCCCUGCUUUACAUCAUUGGCCUCUCUAUCAAGCGUAAAUCGACAAAAAAAAAUUAUCGUUUACUAAAAGUUCAUAAAAAAAUAUAACAGUGUAAAAAUUUAGAGCCUCUCUGACUAAAGAUUUUUGAAACACAAGAUUAGAAAACAAUGCUGGAUUGAAAUGUGUAUCACAUGUUGAUUGCUACAGGAAAAACAAAAGAAUUCUUAUGAGAAUUAUGUGCGUGGGCAUAGUUGCCAUAGAAACAAAUGGAAAUUUUGUGGAAAACGAACCAUACGAGAAUUUACUUUGGAUUUUUUUAGGAAAUUUUUUUAUUGCAAAAAUAUGUACAUAAUUACAAAUACAAUGGGCUAUCUAAAAACUCUAACACUGCAUUUGGAUGUCGUAAUUCAGGCUCAGGAUUAAAAAAUGGAAUUGGGAUGCUCGAAUUCUCCUAUUUGGAUGGCUAGCUUACAAGCAUCUCUAGCAGUACCAGUAAAGGGGCGGUCUGAACUCCGUUCUCGGUUUUGGGCCAAAACAAAUGGCAUGAGCAUAAACCGAAAACGGGCUCGGCCCGAAAAAAUAAUUCGGGGAACCGAAAAGCCCCGUCCGCAGCACGAAUACAUACGGCUCGGAGGGGGCUUUUUGGUUCCAAAGCCGAAGCCCUCUGCCGCCGCGAAACCCCCUCCGUUGCCACCAUCUCCGGCAACCCCGACCUAGCAAAAUGGAAGCGCAAGACUCCUCCACCACCCCGCCACAUUUACCUGUGGCAACCCUAGCACGGCAGAGAUGGUUUCCUCCGCCCAACAGCGACGAAUCUCCAUGGUAAUUCAUCGGAAGAUGAAGGAGAGCCCGAAGAGGAGGAGGAUGACCCCAUCGAGCUGGCCAAGAAUGUGUUCCACGAGUUCCUGAGGCAGAGAGACGCAUGAGCUCUUCUCGAUCCUUUUGGUGCUCACUGUUUUCACGUCCCUCUUCCUCUUUUUCCGACAACACAUCUCCAUCUCCUCCAUGGUGCCCUCUCAAAUUGACAAGCUGUGUAGUCCUGCUCUGUAUCGCAGCCCGUGGGAUGUUGUGCUCUCUUGUGGUCGUAGGGAUUCGGUCGGACCCGUUCUCGAUACGUAUUGUAGAUUCGGGAAGCACCAAUCGAUACAUAUUGCAGAUUUGCACGGCACGAGGGAAGGGUAUGGUCGUAGGGACUCGGCUUGGACUCGUUCUCGAAUUAGGUUUUGAUUAGCGAGCUCCGUGCCUCCGUGUCUGUUGCUCCCAACAUACUCCCUCAGUUUGAUUACAUGUGGUUGUUUCCAUUGUUUUGACCAAAUUUUUAACCAGCAAUUAUUUUCAUGUACAUGCGUUUUGUGUGAUGCAAACCAUAAACAUAAUUAAAUGCUUUGAAUACGAGUACACUAAUGUUAAUUUUACAAACAAAAAAUACAUAUUAAUAAAAUAAUUCUUAAUCAAAAAAUUGAUCAAAGCAAACGAAAUAAGUCCAUAUAAUGGAACUGAGGGAAUACUAACAUACAUCUUCAUGUUCUAAUUUUUACUUUUCUACGGUAGGCCCAUCGGAACACUAUGUUAUGAUGGAUAAUCCAUCGUGGAUCAGACCGAUUUCAGGAAGGUAGCAAUGCGUCUCAUGUAUAAUCCGCGUUCCCGAACUUUUCCAUCCGUCCUUCGUGCCUCAUCCUGCGGCCGCCGGUUUGAAUCGAUAUAUGCUACGGCGGCAAGUUUUGGUUGGUGCUCCAUGAAGCCUUCAAAAUGGGGGCAAGAGUUUGACUUGUCAAAUUUUUGGUCAAGGAUUUUUGCCGUACCAGUAGACCACGGGUCCCACUGAUACGGGACGCGUCACCAGUGACGAAACCCCAUCAGGAAGGCCUCCCGGGAAGCGAUGAGUCCGGAAAGCCUGCCUUAAGGAGACGGUCGUUGGUGAAGGUAAAGUUAAAAGCCAAAAUAUAAGAAGCCCCCGGAAACCCCGGUCCCGGGAAGCUAAAGAAACGCCUCCCAACAACUAGCCGGGAAGGGGCAUUCCAGCAACCCACACUCGGGCAUGCAGGCAGGGCCCGUAGAAUAGUGAAGACAGGACAAGACGGCGGACGCAGUGCAUUUAAUGCACCGACAUGAGUCUCAUCAGCAGGCCUAGUUUUGCUUAGCAAUGCUAGGGCGACUACUCUACGGAGCAUUUUUUUUCUAUCCUGUACAGUGGACCGGGUGCUGCAUGGCAUCCAGCGUGGAUCAGCGGGAGUAUUUUUCAUGUGGUUGUGACACGCGUCUGGAAACGUGUCGUGCUGCAUGCACUGGCACCUGUGAUAUCCCCUUGUCUAUAAAAGGAGUACCGAUGUCACCGAUCAAAGGGUUCCGAUCAGUUUUAGUUUGAGCCCUAGUUAGAGCCAUCGCCGAGUAGCUCCCCGAAACUCCCGGAACACUUUGUAAGCCACAUACGUAAUCUUGAAUACAACAAAAAGCAGGACGUAGGGUGUUACACCUCCGGGUGGCCCGAACCUGGGUAAAUUCACUUGUCCACACUUCGUGUCUAUCGUCACGCCGGCGAUCACCGGAGCGAUCGCCUCGCCCUCCACCGAACCAAAAAGGGGGUGCUCGGCAUUCCAGGUGCCGGAGACCCGUGCUCCGCUAUUUGACGCGCCAGGUAGGGGGCGCGUUGAGAGCUUCGGGUGACCGCCGGCGUCAUCGUCUUCCACACCGGCUUCUUUCUCUACGACAUCCUCAACGACUAGCUCGCUAUGCCGCCCAAGAGGGCAGACGAGCCUCGGGUCGACUUGCGAGACACCGUCGCCAUGCGCACUCGAUCCCACGACGCCGCGCGUGCGUCGCAAGCACAAGGGGACCAGGAGUCCCCUCCACGGCAGUAGCAGCAGUCGCAGCUGCCCCCUCCGCAUCCUCGGCCGUCGACGGACAACCGGCUGAGGGGGCUUGCGGCACCUAGCGCCGGAGCCAGCCGCGCGAGCGACCACAACGUCGCGCGCGCCAGCCAGCGAGUCCACUCGCGGGCUGAAGACGCGCAGCGACAGCUGCGCUACGACCACAGCACGUCGCGCGCGACGCCAACGGAGUCUCGCCCCACACAUCCGAGGGCACCGGGUGACAGGGCGGAGGGGAGCCGGUCGGAGAACUGGCAGCCUCCCGCCCAGACCCCGGUGGAAGCCAUCAUUACCGCGCGUGUCAUGGUGCGCUACGAGCCACCGCAAGGCACGCCGGCGCAUGAACCGCAUGGAGUGCGGGGCUAGAUGCACUCCUCGCGCUCGCUGCCCAACAGCCGCAAGGUGAGGGUGGCCUGGCUGGUUCAGGCCGGGGACAGAACCUGGGACGCGGAGACGCGCCCCGCGUCUCAGGGCACGGAGAGCACCCUCCCCCGUCGGGAGGGCAAGGAGGCGAGGAUCCUGAGGGAUACUCGGACUCGUCACCGACCGUCACGCCAGGUGACGCGCGAGGCGUCCUGAACGCCCGCUAGCGCUUGCAGCGCCGGCAUGAGGCAGAAGGCCAGCGCCCAGAGGAGCAGGAAGAUGCUCCGAUGGGCGCCGACGACGGCUGCGCCGCGUUCACUCGCGAGCUGCGCCGGGUGACAUGGCCCCGCAAGUUCCGAGUGCCGAUGCUCGGGACGUACGACGGGACCGUGAAUCCCAAAGACUUUCUUCUGACCUACACGUUGGGCAUGCACGCUAUCGGUGCCGACGACAAGGUCAGGGCCAACUGGUUCCCGAUGGUCCUCAAAGGAUCAGCGAGGACUUGAUUGCUCAACGUGCCCGCCGGGUCCAUAGCCUCCUGGGCUGACCUGCACGAGCAGUUCGUGAACACGUUCCGAGGCGGCUACAAGCGCCCGGGAACCAUGGCGGAACUGCACACGGUCAUGCAGAAACCGGGGGAGACGUUGCGGGACUUCACCAACAGGUUCUCCAACCAGUCAUACUCCAUCCCUGAGGCGGAAGCGGCCGCCAUCAUCAACACGUACGCCAUCAACGUCCGUGACCCGAAGAUGCGCGAGAAGCUGAACACGCACCGGAUCCGGACCACAUGGGAUCUCUACGCUCUCGCGCGAUGGCCGAGGAAGGGCGCUUGGCGCCCGAGCUUGCCUCCAAAGCAGCGGCAAACCCACCCAAGGGCUCCGGGAAGAAGGGCUCCCGGAAACGCGGCGGGAAGCAAGUGCUUGCCACGGACCCGGGGGCUCCCCAUAGGCCCACCAAGAAGGUAGCGUCGGCGGGAGCAUCGGGUAGCAAGCCGACGGUGGCCCCGUGCUGCCCCAUCCACACCAACGCCUCCCACGACGCGCAGGACUGCCGCACUCUCCAGACCAUCAAGGAGAAGCGCGAGCAGCGCCCCAAGGAGUGCCGCGCUGCCAGGGCUUGCUUCAACUGCGGGGACAUCGGGCACCUCUCCCGGGACUGCCCAAACAAUCCCCGCGGCGGAGCAGGCCAGGUCGUAGCCGGCGGCGACAAAGGAGAACCCGCGGGGGGUCGCGGUCAAGCCCACGGCGGCAACGAUCGGCCUCCCCGGGGACGCGACAAGCCUCGCGCCGAACAACGCGACGCCGACGAGCCCAGCUUCCAGGAGCCCUGCAACGUCGCCUGCAUUCACGGGGGAGCGUACGCUCGCACGUCUCACACUGCCGUGAAGCGGCUUACGCUUGAGGUCUGCGCCCUCGUCCCCAGCGUAGAGGCGCAACAGCCGUUGAGGUGGUCGCAUUUCCCGAUCACCUUCAACUCGGACGAUCACCCGAUCCGUCUCUUGGGGUCAGGGGUACUCCCCCUCGUGGUGUCGCCGAUCAUAAACAAUGGGACGGUGACUAAGGUAUUGGGGGAUAGCAGGGCAAGCCUCAACCUGCUGUCCGCCAAGCUGGUGGAGAAGCUUACUGACCCGUUCCGGGGGAUCAACCCCGGAGUGGUGCAGCCCAUGGGGCGAAUUACGCUCCCGGUGACCUUCGGUUCCCGGGAAGCGUUCUGGACUGAGCACAUCGUUUUCGAUGUAGCUCACACCCUGUUGCCGUACAACGGGAUCAUUGGUCGGCCGGCGCUGAUCAAGUUCAUGGCGGCAACCAUUGCGCCUAUGGCGUGAUGAAGAUGUCGUCAACAUACGGCAUACUCUCCAUCAAGUGCGACCUGAAGGACGCUGCUUGGUGCGUGGGCGAGGUCGUGAAGACCUCCGCAGUGGCGGACCCCGGCGACUACGACGUUGCCGGGAACAAGGAUCCACUUGCGGGUGAGCAACCCGCACAUAAGAAGGCGCGAGCCGCUCCCGGACAGGACGUCGGGGCAGCUCCAGCUCCAGCCCGCGCAUUAGCGAGGGCAUGAAGCUGAAGGAGGAGGGCACCAAGGUCAAGAAGGUGCCCCUGCAUGCCGGCAACGAGGCACACACCGUCUCCAUUGGUGUGAGCCUCGGAAAGCACCCUCAUCGCCUUCCUCCGGGAGUACUCUGACGUGUUUGCUUGGGACCGUCAGAUCUUCUCAGAGUCCCCAGGGAGGUGAUCGAGCAUCGGUUGGCGGUGCGGCCAAACGCGCGGCCCGUCAAGCAGAAGGAUCGUCGGCAAGCACAGGAACGCAAAGACUUCAUUCGGCAGGAAGUGGAGAAGCUCAAGAACGCCGGGGCAAUCAGGGAAGUGUUGUACCCCACUUGGUUAGCAAACCCUGUUGUAGUCCCUAAGGCUGGAAAUAAAUUGCGCAUGUGCGUAGAUUUUACGUGCAUGUCCCAAGGACCCCUUCCCUGUACCCCGAAUCGAUCAAAUAGUAGAUUCUAUAGCAGGUUGUGAGUCUUUGUGCUUACUGGAUGCCUUCUCCGGCUACCAUCAGAUUAAGAUGGCAGUCGAAGACGAGGAGAAAACAACGUUUAUCACCCCGAUUGGCUGCUACUGUUACGCGUGCAUGCCUUUCGGGCUGAAGAACGCGGGCUCGACAUUUCAGCGCGCCUUGCGCGAUUGUCUGGGACCCCAGCUAGGCCGGAAUAUCGAGGCCUACAUGGACGAUAUCGUCGUCAAGUCGCUGCGUUGGGACUCGCUCGUCGACGACCUGCAGGAGACGUUCAACAACCUCCGCAGGAUCAAGCUCAAGCUUAACCCCGAGAAGUGCACGUUCGGUGUGGAUUCGGGGCACUUGCUGGGCUUCCUGGUCUCUCACAGGGGAAUCGAAGCCAACCCAUAGAAGAUCGAAGCGAUCGAGAAGAUGGAGGCACCCCGCAAGGGUAGAGACGUCCAGCGCCUCAACGAGUGCGUUGCGGCGCUUGGACGUUUCAUCUCAAGGCGGGGCGAGCGAGCCCUACCUUUCUUCAAGGUGAUGAAAAAGAAGGGUCCAAUCAAUUGGACUCUCGAGGCGGAAGUGGCGUUCCAGGACUUGAAGCAGUACCUGAAGUCACCGCCGGUCCUCGUCGCCCCCAAGCUGGGCAGCGACGGACCAGGUAGUGAGCUCCGUGCUCAUUGCCGAGAGGAAAGAGCAAGCCUCGGGGGCUGAGACGGAAGGGCCGGGGGCUCCCGGCGAGCUGAAGGAACCCCCGUCUACCGCCUCUACCCCUGGAUCUGAGGGACAGCCCAUGCAGGCUGCCCCCCGCAAGCGGCUGGUGCAGCACUCCGUGUAUUUCGUCAGCAUGGUGCUGCGCGAUGCCCGGGUACAGUACCCGCAGGUCCAGAACUUCUUCUUGGGAUCUUGCUCGCUUCAAGGAAGCUGCGCCACUACUUUCAGGCGCACAGCAUCACCGUGGUGUCAGGGUUCUGCCUAGAGAGGGCCCUCACCAACCGUGAAGCCACCGGGAGGGUGGCUGAGUGGAGGAUGGAGCUAGCGGAAUUCGGGUUGCGUUUCGCAAACACCAAGAGCAUCAAGAGCGCCGCUCUCGCUGACUUCGUCGCAGAGUGGACAUCAACGGGCAUAGAGGAAGAAGAGACGGAAGCGAGCCUUCCCGACAAAUUAGACGAGGGGUACUAGGUCAUGUGCUUCGACGGCCCCUUCUGCUUGCAGGGCGCCGGUGCCGGAGUGGUGAUCGAGUCGCCCAUUGGAGACCAGCUCAAGUUCGUAAUACAGCUCGACUUUGCCAACUCUACCAACAACACAGCAGAGUAUGAGGGACUUCUUGCCGGGCUGCGCGCGGCGAUCGCCCUCGACAUCAAGCGCUUGGUUGUUCACGAGGACUUCCAACUCGUGAUCAACCAAGUGAAUAAGGACUAUGACUGCCCCCAGAUGGCAGCGUAUGUGGGGGAAGUGCGAAAAUUGGAGUCCAGGUUCAAGGGACUUCGGUUUGAGCACGUGAAGCGCAAGGACAACUUUGUUGCGGAUGAACUGUCCAUAUGGGCAGCGGAACGCAGUAAGGUGCCUCUUGGGGUGUUCGUGCAGAGGCAGUCAAAGCCCUCUGUCGACCCCAAGACAGUUGCCGGGGAAGCCCCUCUGGCAACUCAAGGCGACCCUGCAGCUGCGGGGGACCAUGCCGCCAAGUUGCUAGCAUACACUAGCCGAGAACCACCACCCUGGGGGGCGGAUAUUAUUCGUUACCUCAGGAACGGGACCCUCCCGGAGGAAGAUGUUGCCGUGGAGCGAGUAGCCCGGCAAGCUAAGAUGUACACCCUGGUGGACGGGGAACUCUACUGGAGGCGUCCUAAUGGAGUCAUGCUCCUCUGCGUGCCCCGGGAAGAAGGGCGCACGUUGCUGGUGGAUAUAGAUCGAGGCACAUGGUCGCACCAUGUGGCCUCCAGGGCACUAGCUGUGAAAGCGUUCCGGCACGGCUUUUACUGGCCGACAACACUAGCCGAUGCCAAACAAUUAGUCAAGACCUGUGAAGCGUGCCAGUUUCACGCCAAGAAGAGCAACCAGCCAGUGCAAUCCCUGCAAGUCAUCCCGUCCUCGUGGCCGUUCGCGGUCUAGGGGCUGGACAUUAUCGGCAAGUUGCCGAGAGCAGUCGGCGGCUACGAGUACUUGCUCGCCAUCGACAAGUUCUCGAAGUGGAUCGAGGUGGAACCUGUCCGAGCCGUCACGGCGCAGGCAACCAUCAAGUUUUUCAAGGGCAUUGUGUGCCGGUUUGGUGUGCCUAACGGCAUCAUCACCGACAACGACCCGCAAUUCACUAGUGCGGUGUUCCAAGCUUACCUCGAGGACAUGGGCACUAAGAUUCACUUUGCUUCUGUUGCUCAUCCGAGGAGCAAUGGGCAAGUUGAGCGAGCCAACGCAGAAGUGAUGCGGGAGCACAAGACGAGAAACACUGGGUUGAAGAACUCCAACCCGUGCUGUGGUCGCUGCGGACCACACCAAGUCGGGCGACGGGUCAAACUCCGUUUACCCUCAUCUACGGGGCAGAAGCUGUGCUGCCCCUCGAGCUCAAGUAUGGGUCACCUCGGGUACGCGCGUACGGCGACAAGAGCCAACACACAGAGAGGAUUGAUGACCUUACCUUCAUCGAGGAGAUUCGAUGCCGGGCUGCUGUGCGAGCUGCAGGCUACCAGCAGGGACUCCGUCGUUAUCACGACAGGAGAGUCCGUCCCCGAGGGCUCGAGGUUGGAGAUCUCGUCCUGCGCCGGAUACAAGGAACCAAGGCCGGGAACAAGUUGACUCCAAUCUGGGUGGGCUCUUUCCGGGUAGUGCAGGUGACCAGACCGGGGCUUGUCCGGCUGGAAACAGAAGAAGGCUUGCCGGUGCCCACUAGUUGGAACAUUGAGCACCCACGCAAGUUCUACCCGUGAAACGGUGACGCCUUACCCACGGGUGACGUUGCGGCAGCGUGCCUCUUUAAGCUAGUGUAGCCGGGCAAGGCCCGAUUGUAAUCCGCUAGCACAAAGUUGAAUAAAGAUAAGUGUCGCUUCAAUGAAUGUUGUGCUUUGCUAUUUGUGAGUGCUUUUGUCUCCUGCUCUAGGUGCACAGAAUUGUCUCCUCGUCUUUGGCUGUGAGCAGGGGCUGUCGGAACCCAAAAAAAAAAAAGCUCGUUGCAGGGACGUCCCGGAACGAGGCCUAACAGUUGUCGGACCCGUCCGCAACGUGCUACGUGCCAGCAAGGCACCAAGGGAAUAUGAAGAUGUUCACACCCAAGUCUGAGGUCGACUCUUCUAUGGUCGGGGGCUGGGAGGCAGGAGGUUAUCCAGUUUGAAAUAUUUUUCGUGCAUUUCAAUUUUUUUUUUGCUAUGCACCUUGGGCACUGCAGGAAUCUGACAUGCAGGGUAAAGAUGGGGCGAAGGCACACGGUGAUGCUCGUGGGGUGGUCACGGGUGUCGUCGCCUUGUGAGUAAGUUGUACAUAUAUGGCAAUUACUUCGAGACUUGAUGCAGGAAACUGAGACAGGGCCAGUGCCUCCACGCGGCGACUGGUGGUCCCGCGCGUGUGUAGGAAAGGGCAGCGCUUCGGCUAUUUAAAGAGACCGGGGCAAAUGCAGCACCAGCAACGGGCAAGAAAGCAAGAGAUGUCGCAGAGAGGCGAUUGUGGUGCACCCCUCUCCGCUUGUCGCUGAGGGUGUUCCCACCAUCACGGCCUGCCACUCUCUUAUGAAACGACACCAGAAAUGGCGAUGAGACAAGCGAGAGGCGUCGUAUAGACGCGGUGGUGGUGCAUGCCUCCGCGGCUCCGAGGGUGCUGCUGGAGGGUGCACUGCCACCGCGUCCUUGCCACGGCUCUCAACGAGGUGCUACAAGACCAAAGAUAAUGGAAAGCUAAGUAUUUUGUCUUAGGUCCUUGGCUCUUCCUUUAGUAGCGUUGGUUUGCCAAGGCAAGCUCGGUCCCCGUGUUGUCGGAGUGUAGGAAGGACGCUUGCGGGGGGAGGACGCUCCCCACAUGUGGCUCGCGGGUCCGCCGCAGACCGCCUCACCAGGGGGACGUCGUCUUCCUCGUCGUCCUCCUCCAGCGCGACACCGCUGGUUGCUGGGGCAGCGUCGUCAUCGUCGUCGUCGCUGAGCUCUCCUCCGACGCCCAGCGAGGAGUCGUCAGAGUUCGAGUCCUCUGGCCUGGCGGAGGCCUGGCCUUGGCCCCCCUUCCCCGAGUCGACAGCCGGCUCCUUGCCCCUGCGGGCCUGGGCUACGGGGGGGGGGGGGGGGGGGCAGGGUUGCGCCGAGGGGUCUUCCACGAUGCCCCACUCGUCGCAGAGUGGGAGAUCCCAGGCUCCCAGGUUCGGGAUCCCGGCGCGGAGCAGGUGCGCUCCAAGCGGGGGCAGCCGGUAGGCUUCGUCCUCGCCGGUGAUGCCCUUCACCCAGAAUUGCACUUCCUCCGGGAGGAGGUCUGUGCGCUGCAGCCGGGUCUGGUCGCCGGACCCGGUGUACAUCCAUGCCGAAUGUGAGCGCCGCUGCAGGGGAGCCAUGCGCCUCCCAAUGAAGUGGCAUGCCACAUCCAUGUCCGUGAGCCCAGCCUCACGGAGCGCCUUGAUCUUGGCACAGAUUGGGGCCGGCUCCUUGUCCUUUUGGUCGCGGAGCGUCCAGUCGUCAGAGCGCUUCGGGGGCCCGAGGGGCUCCUCGUGGAACUCCUGGAGCUCGUCGGUGCGCACCCAGCAGCAGUCGCGGCGCCACCGUGCUCGAUCUUCUUCUUCCCCAGCUCUAUGAACUCCCGACUUGAUCCUGUCGCGGAACCGGAACACCACUCCCGAGGACAAGGGAGCCUUUUUCUCCACCCUCGAAUAGUAGUAGUCGCGAAAUAGAGCCACCGAUGGCAUCACCCCCACGAACGCUUCACAAAGGUGUUGGAAGACAUCCAAUGUGAAGAAUGAUGUGGGGUGAAGUUGCGCCAUGAUGAGCCCGUAGGUCUCCAUGAUGGCUGAAAGGAAAAAAGAGUGCGGCGGCACGAACCUGGCUAGGAUGAAUCUCUCGAAGAUCCGGAAGUACUACAGGUUGCGCUCCGCGCCGAUGGGGUGAAUCCACGUCGGCCCGUACUCGUUGUGCUUGGUGGCAAGCGCCAAAAGUGGGUGUUUGAUGAGAUUUUGUUAAAAAAUCUGUUUUCUUGUAUUAAGAAAAGCACACAUGCAUAUAUCACAAGGUUAAGUACGUUGACAAAAAUGCAUGGUGCAAGGCGUGUCCAUGAGUAAUAGUUGGGUCCAAAUUAAGCUCAGUGCUUGAUUGUGUGCCCUGCACUCUAACGUGAAUAAAUCAAUCAACCGGCAUGUAUAUCAAGUAUGUUGAUUGUGUUGCAUGCACCCUGACGUGUGCUUGAUGUAUGAACCAGCUAGCAUAUGGAAAGUUCAGACCGACGUACACACACGUGUGGUCUACGGCAGGAAGGAAAUAGGAAUUGAUUGAUCGAAUCGCUGGUUUCCAAGUAUGUGCGGCGGUGCUCGGUGUGCUUUCCUUCCUGUAGCCCGACCGCUGGCCUAUAUAAGCUGGCCACGAAAGAUCAAUCAGGGGGGCAGGGUGGCCACCUCCAGGAAACGCAGGAGCGCGAGGUGUGGCAGCGCCUAGACGGAGAGGGAGGCGCCCCAGGCCGUGGCAAGAGCGGCCACGCCAAGGCGAGCGGCGGCCAUGUUACUCCGACGUGCGUAGAAGAGAUGAAGUCCCCUCGGCAGCGCCGACGCGCAUGGUGCAGCAGGCCGCAUGAAGCACAUCUCGUGACUUUAAUAUAUGCAUCCAUCUCAAUUUCUGUGUAUCCAGGACCUAGCUCGAUCAGGUUAUGGGCAGCAGCGCCUCUGCACGUCCAGCUAGCCUAGCCGGCGGGCGCGCUAGGCGGCGACGGCAGCAACGACACAUGCCAAGGUGAGGGCCAGCCGGUCAGGCGCCGGACCUCGAGGCUGCGUGUCCAAGGCGGCGGCAAGCUCCACAGGCCGGCGUGGGCAGAGCAGACCUGCUCAUCGAUCCAACAUGCACAAAGAUCAGCGUUGGAGAUCAACACUAAUCUCUCUUAUGUAUACUUGUUGCUCUCCUAGGUGCAGCUCGUCUUGUUUCUCUCCAGGUGCAGCUCGCCUGCAUGCAUGGCAACACACAGGUACGAAGGAGAGGGCAGAAGGGAGGCGCCCCAGGCGGUGGCGAGGAUGGCCACGCCAAGGCGAGCGGCGGCCAUGGCCCUCAGGCGUACGUAGACGAGCAGAAGUCGCCUCGGCGGCGCCGUGGCGGCCGCUGGGCAUAGCAGCCUCAGCCAUGAGGCAAGACGCAGGCAGCACACAGUCUCGCCGGCAUGGGAGACGAGUAACGACCAUCCAGGCGAGAUAAUCUUCUCAUGUCUUUCUUUCCCAUGCAGAGGAAGAAUCAAGGACGUGGCUGCAAGAAGGUACUGCAGCUACAUCGGCACCAAGCAGGUAAGCAGCUGGAGCCUGCUUGCCGGCCGGCCGCGGCAUCUCCACUGGAAUCCCGUGCGAAGGUGCGCGCCAUCCAGAAGGGCAAUGGGGCUGACACGCUGUCCAUGAACGCCAUCGACCCAGACGCUGCGUGUCCGCCGCCAUCGGCGCCAUGGGCGUGCCCUCACCAUAUAUCAACACCCUACCGGUGUUCUUCACCUAAAUCCAGAUCGUGACCAAGGGUGUCGAGCCCUUCCUGCGUGUGCCCUACUUUGGACAUGCACAUGACAUGAGAGCCUAACUAUUUUCUAUGCAGAUAAUAAUCCACUCGUUCUUGUGCACAGAUAUAUGCAUGAAACUCUCGUCCCAAGCUUGGACGCGAGGUUGCCGGCCACCGGCAUCCGCAAUGCCGGCUGUGACUCACAUCUUGCGGGCAUAUUCUUCUUCACGCCCGCCAUGUGUGGCACCUGGGUUGAUGCGUUCUUCACCGACAUGGUAUCAUGCUAGAUGCCGCCGCUCACGGCGUCCCUCCACGUGGUGUAUAUCUAGACACCGUCAUACACGGUGUCAUGCUAGACGCCGUCGCCCCACGCAGGGCACCGUCUACAUCAUCGACACGUCGCCGUCUACUCCAACAUCUACGCCAACACUCUUCCCCGACAUCGUCCAAGCCUCCGACGAGGCGGGCUUUAUUCCACCGACUAGUCCUUCAACGAUGAAAUAAGUAUGUUACUUGCUUGCACCGACAAAGUGCUAGCAAGUCAUCCCGUCCACACCGAGACAUCACCAGGCCCGGCACCGACAAGACAAAGGCCGCCCACUCGUCUAAGCCGACGAGGCUUAGACAUCUCUUCAUCAUCUGACAACGACAAGCCGGAGGUCUACUGCUAAGCAUCACCAGGGCGCGGCGUAUACCGCUCCACCCUUCCACUUCGCCUCCACAACACCACUGUCUACAUCAAGCACACGGGGAAGACGAGAGACUUGAAGACGACGACCAUUGUAGCAGCUUAAUCGGAGGUGUCUCGCGGCUCGAGCCGCAGGAGUAAUUAAGUGGGAGCUUUACGAGGCCCCGUGAAUCAAGACACUACAAUCGCCCAUGUCAUAUCGGCCGCGCCGGUAGGCCACGGAGCGCACUCGAUCAAGGAAAAUUGUAAUUUGUUUCUCUAAGUGAGAUUAAUAAAAUGCAUAUUUUCCUUUAUUUUAUUUGUGUAUUCAGGUACACUGGCACGCCCGCAUUUUAUUUCCCCCGACGGAUGAGAGAUACUUUUUUUUUAAGUAUUUUUUGUGUCAAACAGGGGGGAAGAUGGCGAACUUAGCCCGCAUUUCCUCAUCCUUCCGGGCUCGGUCCGACAGCUCUUUCUUGCUGACCUUCUCGCACUUUUCCCCUUUGCUGGUGCUCACCUUGGGACGGUUCUGGCCCUUGGAAGACAUCGACGGAAGUGGGGAGGUGAUUUGGUUGGAGUUGGGGCGCGGAGAGCUUGGGGGGAGGCAAUGGCAGGAGCAAGAGGCAAUGGGGAGUGCCCGCCGCCAGCCUUGGGUAUUUAUUGGGGCUGGCGGGCUGCAACGGACACCCCCACGACCGGUAGUAAAGUGCCCUAAAGAAUCGGAGAUUAAGAGGGGGGUGUGCGACGUGGCCUUAACUCUCUGGCGAUUAAGGGGGAUAAGGCACGGUGCGCCCGACCGUUCCACUCGGAGGAGUGGAACUGUAAAUGCGGUCCGCAAGGCCGGGUGCCGGGGGACUCCCCUUGGGACCCACCCGUCGGAUAGGGCGUAGCCCGGCAACCGACCGAGGAUAGCACUUGCUGGGAGCUUCAAGGCUGCCGGCCCACGCCCGGGGGUUACUGUCGUACCAGUGGCCCACGGGGUCCCACUGAUACGGGACGCCUGGGUCACCAGUGACGAAGCCCCGUCAGGAAGGCCUCCUGGGAAGAGAUGAGUCUGGGAAGCCUGCCUCAAGGAGACGGUCCUUGGUGAAGGUGAAGCUAAGGGCCAGAAUAUAAGAAACCCCCGGAAACCCCGGUCCCGGGAAGCUGAAGAAAUGCCUCCCGGCAACUAGCCGGGUGCGCUAGCUAGGAAGGGGCACCCAGCAACCCACGCUCGGGCAUGCAGGCGGGCCCCGCAGAACAGUGAAGACAGGACAAGACGGCGGGCGCAGUGCAUUUAAUGCACCGACAGGAGUCUUAUCAACAGGCCUAGCCUAGCCGGCGACUACUCUACGAAGCAUUUUUUCUACCGUGUACAGUGGACCGGGCGUUGCAUGGCGUCCAACGUGAAUCAGCGGGAGUAUUUUUCAUGUGGUUGUGACACACGUCUGGGAGACGUGCACUGGCACCUGUGGUAUCCCCUGUCUAUAAAAGGAGGACUGAUGCCACCGGUCAAAGGGUUCUGAUCAAUUUUAAUUUGAGCCGUAGUUAGAGCCAUCGCCGAGUAGCUCCUCGGGAACUUCCGGAACACUUUGUAAGCCGCAUACGUAAUCUUGAAUACAACAAAAAACAGGACGUAGAGUGUUACACCUCCAGGUGGCCCGAACCUGGUAAUUCACGUGUCCACACUUCGUGUCUAUGAUCACGUCGGAGCGAUCGCCAGAGCCCUCCACCGAACAAAAAAGGGAGUGCUCGGCAUCUCCGGUGCCAGAGACCCGUGCUCCGACACAUUUUACCAAUUAUUUGGCAAGAGUACGUGAGAAAGAUGAGGAUGUUCAUUCUGGCAACCAAAAUCUCGACCACAAACAAAAAAACAAGUGCCAAAAUAAUAUUCAAUCCUAAUUUUUUUAGUUGGGUGUUUUGGCACAAACCAAACAGCCGAUGCAUCUUGCCUUCGGACUUUGCGCAUCAGCACCGGCUGUCCUUUUGCACCGAUUUCCAUCGAUUGGUGGCACCGAAACAUGAUUAGAUUUAUUUUUUAAACUAACAGGAUUACUGGAUGUUUUGUUCUCUUAGCUCGAUGGAAAACAAGAGUUCGCUCAUGAUCAUUGUGCCUCCAUCAAAAUAAACAGGAGGUAACCGCAUUGAAGAUGCAAUCAUUCCUGGUGCGCCGAUGCUUGAAGUGACCUAAGAUGGACCGAGAGCUGUGGAGCGAAUUGUACUUGGGGCACGAUGCUCAAGUGACUGAUAUACCAAAGAUCUUGUAUUUGAUAUGACCAAGGUUUUGGUGACCGAGCUGACUUUUUUUACCGAAUGGUUACCGGCAAAUUAACAUUCAAACAUUUGAAUUCAAUUUUCGUUCUCAGUAAUUAUAAGGGUUUGAAUGCAUAAUGGACAUAAUUAUUACUCUCAUACCGUAGUUGAUCAAGCAUUUGAAUUCAAUUUUAUCUCUUAGCAAUUAUAAGGGUUUGAAUGCAUAGUAGACGAAAUCACUCUCCUGCCUUCUUCCUCUGUUUUUUCUUUCCAUAUAAUUGGGGUCUAGAAAUGCAACCCAUAGAAUCUUUGGAGGUUUCAUACCUUCGAUCCAAAGGUUCUCGGUAGAAAAAACUCAUAAGAAUUAGAAAUUUUCUAGUUCCUCUACAAAAUCCUUCGAUCCUAAUAGGCCCCUAAAUCACCCGUCGGCGCGGGAGUGAACUCUACCUCCCUACACGAGCAGCAGCAGUCAGCGUCUCCAGGGGUCAAGAUAGGAAAGAGAAAUUUGAUGUGCGCCGGGUUCAGAAGUCGGAAGAGUGAAGUCCAUUUUAAACACUGUGCUUGUAGAGUUUGUCCAAAUCGAACCCUCACCUCUAAAUUCCUGAAGUUGGCAUCCUAACCUUAUUAAUCCUAAUCCCAAUCAAAUAUAACCUUUGAUUCGUUUGGAAGGCCGCGAAUAGAGCAAUCCUGGCCGGUAUUAUUAACAGCUCUAAUAACACCCACUUCCAUCAGUGUCCCACGUGUCAUAUUCAUCUUCUUCCUCGAAAUGGUCUGCGCCCACACCCUGUGCCGCCAUAACCUACCCGACCCCAUCUCUGGGCUGAAUCAUGCCAGCGAUGAGGCCAUCCCGCGCCCGGCGACGCUUGCUGCUGCCAUCGAUUUGGCCGGUGCUGUCGUCAAUUCGCGCCGCCGCCUCGUCGAGGGGCUCCGCUGCAACCCUCUACCUCCCAGACCCCUCCUCUUCUUCAAUUUAUCUGUGCUCCCACCGAAUUAAUUAGCCGUCGAUUUGGUCCGUGCGGGCGUGAGGUGGGCGGCGUGCUCGUGCAGGUACAAGGUGGGCGACGCGUGAGGGUGUGACGUGAGAGGUGGGCGGCGCAGCGGCUGCGAGGGCUUGCGGGCUCGCGGGUGAUCAGCGGGAAUGGGUGCAACGGCAAGUUGGGGCAUCGAGGAGCUGGGCGUGGGCGGCGUGCGGCCAGGCGCAGCUGGGGCGUCGAGCAGCGGGGCACGUCGAGGAGCUGGGCGCGGGCCGCGUGAGGCCAGGCGCGGCGGCAGGGUCGCGCGAUGGGCGUGGCGCCAUCCAUGCAUCGGGGUCCACCUCCCCAUCGCUUGCCAGUCAAGAGAUGGAUCACUUGAAACAAAGCAAAUCAUUGGUUCAUUCACGUGAUUACUUCGUAAGAGAAUGAGCUUGAGGAAGAGGAUGAAUAUGACGUGUGGGACAAUGAUGUCAGUGGGUGUAAUUAGAGCGGCUAGUAAUACCGGUCAUGAUCACUCUAUUUCCGGCUUGCCAAAUGAAUCAAAGGUUAGAUUUGACCUAGAUUAAUAAGAUUAGGGUGCCAACUUCAGGAAUUUAGAAGUGGGGGUUCGAUUUGGACAAGCUCUACAAGCACAGGGUUUAAAAGAGACUUUACUCAACUUGGAAGCGCCCGUAUCGGGUGGGCACAAGCGAGAGAGCUCUUUUGGACCACCAAACAGCGACUCGGGACAUAAAAUACCAACACAUCUCCCGUUGAGCAUAUGCAUAGAAGCUUAUUUUGUUUGAGUGUAUAUUUUUUAGUCGACUUAGAAAUAGUUACUCCUUUCGAUCCUAAAUUCUUGUCCCAAAUUUGUCCAAAUAUGAAUGUAUCUAUUCAUAAAAAGUGUCUAGAUACAUGUAAUGUUUCGAUAACAAUUUAGGAUCGGAGGUAGUAUUUCUCAGUUAACGAUCAUAGUUUUUCGAUUAAGAUUUUUCUGAUUGUUUGUACUUGUAACAGUUAUUAAAAUCAACUGAGAAAUAGUGAAAAUAACUACUCCCUCCGUCCGGAAUUAAGUGUCACAACUUUGUCUAAAUAUACAUGUAUCUACACACUGAAACGCGUGACGGUGAAAAAAAAUUCUAAUUCGAAAUAGCAAAACCGUAUUUUGUGUGAGUACCCGAACACACGCGCACGAUAGGUAGCUUACUCCAAAACCAAUCGGUCCCGUUCUUGACAUCUUGUGUAACGUAAUACUCCCUCCGUCCCAUAUUAAGUAAUUCAAAUUUUCCAAAUAUGGAUGUACCUAUGCCUAAAAAGUGUUAGAUGCAUGUAACAGAAAGACACUUAAUAUGGGAUGGAGGGAGUACUAAGGUUUCUCUUCCAUGUAUGCAUAGGUCAUUAGAAUGUUUUUCUUUAGCAAACUAAACAUGAGCACGCCAACAUGAUAAUUGAAAAUUUAUUUGCCACGUCUCCCCCAUUUCCUGAGACUAUCGGGCUUUGGGGCUUAUUCGAUUGGUAGGAUUUCAAAAAAUCAACUACGUCAAAAUAAAAAUCAGGUUUACAAUAACAUGUUUGUUUUUUUGUUUGGUUGCCCCCUAUAAAAACAAAUUGCUAAUAUUUAAUAUCGUACUCUCUCCGUUUCAUAAUUCAUGUCUCAAAUUUACUCAAAAAUGAAUGUAUCUAUUCCUAAAAGUGUGUAGAUACAUGUAAUAUUUCGACAACAAUUAUGAAACGGAGGGAGUAAUCAACGGGAGAUUUCAUACUCCAUGUAAGAGAAAUUUGCGAGAAGAAAUUCAAUCGGAGAGUAUCAAAAUUCCAUUAUGGCAAAUACACCGUGCGUGCCCUUGCACCUACGGAAUAGCUAUAGUAUAGUCUGCUAAAAAAAAUGGUUCAUAUUGUACUCCGGGAGAUAGCAAAGGAAGAUAUCGCACGGCGAGACCAGGAGGUUUCGAGGAAAUUGCAUGUUCCACCACCUAUUGGGGACGUUGUUGCGCAAAACACCACUUCUACGAAAUUUUUGCAGAUUUCACCAUAUAUUGGUCCAAUUAGUUGUAGAUAGGUCCUAAUAGCGUGUUAGACGGCUUAAUCACAUUUCUGACCUGUGGGCCCCACAUAUCAGUGCCAACGUGUACCGAGCCCUUUGCCGCGGUGGACCGGGUUGGGUUUGGAGCCAACUGGUUAAAAGUAAAUCACGACUGAUUAGGUUCCAAAAUAUGGUAAAUCGGGUCGGGUCUGGCUCCACCGAAUCGGGCAUGAUUUCAUUUUAAUCGGUUGGCUCAGACCCGACCCAGUCCACCGUGGUAAGGGGCUCGGUACACGUUGGCACUGACAUGCGGGGCUCAUAGGUCAAAACGUGGUUAGGCCGCCUAACACGCUAUUAAGACCCAUCUGCAACUCAUGGACCAAUAUGUGGUGAAAUGUGCAAAAAAUUUGUAGAAGUGGUGUUUUGCGCAACAACGUCCCAAUAGAUGGUGGAAAUGUGCAAUUUCGUCGGAGGUUUUCCCUCCAUUUUGAAUUGAAAAUUUCUGGUCAUCGAGUUUGUCGUCUUGCUAAGUACUCAAGGGCAAUCUGGUCAUUAUGAAACAACCGUCAUAGACGGCGUGCUCUCGGUUCCAGGCUACAUAGCCCCGGGCCACCGGCCGCGAAUACCGCUCCUAACCAAAGCCAGCCAUGGCUCUCCACGACGGCCUACCGCUGCUCUUCAGCUCUUGUUCACCACCCUCCUGCUCCUCUGCGCACUCCUACCAGCCAUAUCUGCCUCCCACGACCAGCUCUGGCUGUCGCACCAGUGGCACCCGGGGUACCACCGUUGCUCAACGUGUGGGUCGCCUCGCUUGCUCCCCGCAAGGAUGGCACCUUGGGCAGCACGGUGCGAGCUGCCCGAGAAGCCACCGGCCCGGCAAGAGCCUGGGAAGGGGGUUGCCCUGGAGCAGGACUAGCUGGGCUGCGGGGGUUACCUCGGAUGACAGCGUGAAUCCCCGUCAGGACGCCCCCCGGGAAGUUCACUUGCCGGGGAGGGUGUCUCCUGGCGCAGGUGCUUACAACUGGGCCGGUGCCCAGUGCAGGCAGAGUAUCGACACCACGUGGCUGCCCGGUAGGCCCCUUCUGUGCAAGGCUGGUCGGAGCGUGGAGUGUGGCACAAGCCGAGCAUUAAAUGCUCCGACAGGGAAGAGGUUACCCGUCUAGUCAGCUUGCAGUGAGUAGCCCGCAGUGAAUCUAGGGCACGUGUGGCCCUAGUUACAGUGCGUUUCACCGUGCAUGCAUGCCAGCACAGCAAAGGCAAGCUGCCUUGAGUCUUUGUUCGGCCCGUGUCCUAGGGCGCGUCCCCCAUGCAAACUGGGGCACCUGUGGUAUCCCUUUGAGUAUAAAAGGAGGACCAAUGCCACCGGUCAAGGGGUUCGGGUUCUGGUUCUUCUAUGGUUGGAUUGGAGCUGGGUUACGAUCCCGAGAGAUUUAGUCCAGGAGUAGCAAGUAGCCACUUAGCAGAAAGGAAGAGAGCACCCUGGGGCUCCCCCGGCAACCUGUAAUCACUCGCGGGGGAGCACCACCGCACGCCGCCACCACAACCCUUCCCCGGAGAGCAUGAAUUUCGGUGGCUAGUUCAAGAAUUCGAAUACUCAAUUGACGAGAUAUAUUGUUGUGGUCGAUGUUCCUCCCAUCCUCCCUCACAGCGAGUUCAUAUUACAAGCAAUCGGUCCAAGCCGUCCAAAACCUAGCCAAGGAAGAAACUACAGAGAAGCUAGCUUAAGUAGGAAAUACAAGGUUCAGCGAACCCAACUUGGGCUUGCAAGCCUGGCGGGUAACCAGUGCGUGCGAGUGGGCCGUGACGAAGGCCCAUCUUGCCUUGAUGAAGGCGUUGGGGUGGUCCAGGUCGUUGACACCCCCUCCUCCAUAAGAAGCUGCUUGCCCCCAAGCCGGUGCCCAGGGAAACUUCUGACGGAGCGAAUCCAGAUCUUCCCAGGUGGCAUCAGUCACAGCAGCAUCGCUCCAAAGAAUAAGACCCUGAGCAACAGUCUUGGAACCUUGCUGGCGAACACGAUGCUGCAACACACGCACAGGAAUCUGGAAAGCAAUAGUGUCAGCAGGAAGAUGAUCAUGUACCUUGUGCUUAGGAGAGACCGAUCGCUUCAACUGAGAGACGUGAAAGACAGGAUGAAUACGACUGGAAUCCGGCAAUUUCAAACGAUAAGCCACAUUGCCGAUCCUUUCCAGAACCUCAUAUGGGCCAAAGAAACGAAAUGCCAGCUUGUGAUGAGAACAAUGAACCACUAAAGCUUGAACAUAAGGUUGAAGCUUAAGAAAGACCUUGUCGCCCACUAGAAAACUGCGUCCAGUUCUGUGCUUGUCAGCGUGAAGUUUCAUACGUUGCUGGGUGCGCAACAAGUGUUGUCUAAUAGAAGCAAUAACAACUUGGUGCUGGUCUAACCAUUGCUGCAAAUCAGGAGGUUGAAUAGCAUCACGGGCUGAUAGACCAAAGUAGCGAGGAGUAUGACCAUAUAACACCUCAAAAGGAGACUUGUUCAAAGCUGAAUGCCAAUUGGUGUUGUACCAAAAUUCAAAUUAGAACCAGUGAGCUUCAUUAAUGUUUGCCAGAAAGUUCUAGUGAAAAUGGGAUCUCUGUCAGAAAUGAUAUGCUUAGGAAAGCCAUGAAGUUUGUACAGAUGAUCCAGAAAGACUUCAACGACUUUCUGAGCAUUGAAAGGAUAGCGCAAAGGUAUAAAAUGACCAUAUUUAGUGAACUUAUCAAUCACAACAAAGAUGCAAUCAAGGGAGCCAGAUUUAGGUAAGCCACUAAUGAAAUCCAUAGAUAUCAUUUCCCAUGCUUGAGAAGGAACUGGAAGAGGAGAUAAUAAACCAGGGUAUGGAACUCUCUCAGGUUUAGCUUGUUGACAUAUAAGGCAAGAUUCAGUUUGAUCCUUAAUAAAAUGCUUCAUACCAGACCAUCUGAAGAGAGAGACAAUAUGCGUCUAUAUGUCACAGGAAAUCCAGAAUGGCCUCCAACAGGACUUGCAUGAAAAGCUUGGAAAAUUUUCAUAUGGAGUGGCAAAUGGUGACCCACCCAUAAGCAACCUUUAUACCUCAGCAACCAAUUACUCAAAGUGUAAUGUGGAUGAGAAGUGGGAUCCAAGGAGAGUUGUUGCAACAACGCUUGGACUUUUGGAUCAGCAACAUAACUCUGAACAACUUCAUCCAACCAAGCAGGCUGAAGAUCAGACAAAGCUUGGACUUGCAUAUCUGCAUGUGGCCUGCGAGAGAAAGCAUCAGCAGCAUUGUUAGUAAUACCUUUCUUGUACACUAUUUUAUAGGUCAAAUCCAUCAUCUUAGUCAAGGCCUUCUGUUGCCAUUCAGUGUGCAGCUUUUGAUCAUCCAAAUGAGACAAACUCUUUUGAUCAGUACGAAUAAUGAAUUCCUUGACUUGAAGAUAGGAUCUCCACCGUUCAAUACCUGUAAUAUAGCUAAGUAUUCCUUCUCAUAAACAGACAAUGGCUGAUUUCUAGGACCCAAAGCCUUACUGACAUAUGCCAAAGGAUGGCCAUCCUGCAUUAACAUAGUUCCAAUGCCUAUAUUGCAAGCAUCAGUUUCUAUGACAAUAAUCUUGCUAAAGUCCGGUAAGGCCAGAACAGGAGCAGAUAUGAGAGCUUACUUAAGAACUUGAAAAGCUUCAUCAUGAACAACUGUCCAGAGGAAACUGGCACCCUUCUUGAGAAGUUGAGUCAAGGGCUUACUUAUAAUGCCAUAGUGCUUGAUGAAUUUCCUGUAAAACCCUCUAAUGCCCAAAAAUCCCCUAAUUUCUUUGACAUUAACUGGUGUAGGCCACUUCUGAAUAGUGACAAUCUUGCUACUGUCCAUAGACACACCAGCAACACUGAUAACAUGGCCCAAAUAAAAAGCAAUUUGUGGCUGUGCAGAAGCACAUUUGGAGAGUUUGACCUUCCACUGAUGUUCAUGCAAAAUCUGGAGGACUUGGUGAACAUGGUGAAUAUGCUCAGGAAAAGUCUUGCUAUAGAUUAAAAUAUCAUCAAAGAACACUAGAGAAAACUUCCUGAGAACAGAUGCCAAGGAACUAUUCAUUGCUCACUGAAAUGUACCAGGAGCACCAGUGAGACCAAAAGCCAUCACAAUGAAUUCAAAAUGGCCAUUAUGGGUCUGGAAUGCUGUCUUAUAUUCUUCUCCAGGAGCCAAUCUGAUCUGAUGAUAUCCAGCCUUAAGAUCCAAUUUAGAAAACCAAGCAGCUCCAGCAAGCUCAUCCAAGAGUACAUCAAUGACAGGUAAAGGAUAUUUGCCCUUAAUAGUGAGAGCAUUGAAGUGUCUAUAAUCAACCACCAUCCUCCAAGUGUGAUCCUUCUUUUUAACAAGUAAAACUGGAGAGGAGAUGGCACUAUUACUGUGCUGGAUCAUACAUCUCUUCAACAAGGCAGAGACCUGAGAUUCCAGUUCAUCCUUUAGAUGGGGAGCUAUACGAUAGGGGCGAAUGGAGACUGGUCUAGCACCUGGAACCAAGGGAAUAGUGUGGUCAUAGCAUCUUCUAGGUGGAAGUCCUACAGGAUCAGCAAAGACAGAAGCAAAUUUAUCCAACAAGGGCUGUAUCUCAGGUGGAAUUGGAGGAGUGUCAACAGGAAUAAUAGCAGAUAAAGAGACUCAGUGAUAGCAUACUCAUCAGGCAGUGGACCCUGUAAAGUAACUAGUUCACCCUUCCUAUGAAAAGACAUCCAACGUUGAGCCCAGUCAACCUGCAUGGGACUGUGAGCAGUAGACCAAUCGAGACCCAAGAUACCAUCAUAAGAACCUAGAGGCAACAAUCUGAAAUCAGUAGAAAAAGUGUGACCUCCACAAGACCACUGACAUUGAGUUAGUUGAUAUUGGCAAUGAAGAACUAACCCUCCAGCAACUUGAACCUUAACAAGAGGAAUGGACUGAACAUUCUGAAGAUAAGACAGUAAUGCACUAUCAAGGAAUGUAUGGGUACUACCAACCAGAGUCAACCAAACAUAAUAAGGAGUGACCUUGCAACUCAAUAUGAAUCUGCAGGGUAGUAACAGAAUGCUCACGGGCAACAGCAGCAGCAGAGAUGGACAUUAGCUGACUGCCAGUCUCAGAAUCAGAACCAAAAUGCACCAUAUCAAAUUGCAGGCGAUCAAUUAACUCCUGAACAAAAUGCAGUUGCACAGUCUGCUUGCAUUGGUGGUCACGAGACCAGCGCUCACCACACACAAAACAGAGGCCCUUGGCCUUGCGAUAAUUGCGGAGAGCAGUCCAUUUGUCUUCAACAGGAACAGCUCGGACAUCGUCAAGAUUCUUACGCUCCUCAAGAGGUCGCCGAGGUUGUGGUGGUGGUGGCAGUGGCAAUGGUAAAGUCGAAGCGCGGCGCACAUUAGCUUGGGUCACAACAGGAAUAUUUGCACCCAAAUCUUCAUGUAACAAAGCAAGAUCAUAAGCAGCAUCUAAGUCCUUGGGCUUCUGAAAUGAAACCAUCAGACACACGUUAGGUUUGAGGCCCUCCAAAAAGCGAGUCAGAUAGUGAAACUUCUGGUUUGUCCUCAUAAGCAGAUAAUUGAUCAUAGAGAUCAGAGAAACAUUCCACAUAAUCUUCCACAGUAGAAGUCUGAGUUAUGCGGAAUAGCUGGCGAAUAAGCUGCUGAUGAAGAUUGCGACCAAACCUGAGUUGGAGUUGAGUACAGAACUCGUCCCAAGUAGCACGAGGCAUUCGACGCUGCGCUAACUCCAACCAGCGAGCCGCUGCGCCCUCAAACUGCGCUGACGCAUAUUGAAUCCACAGCGUCGGUGACGUGCCCCAAAGCUGGAAAUAGUCCUCACAGCGAGCUUGCCACAGACGAGGAUUUGAAUCGUCGAAUCGAGGAAGCUCUACGCGAGGGCCAGAACCAGAGAUAUCAGACGAGUCCGUGUGAGGAGAAUCAAAGGUCUGAGAAUUUUUGGUUUGAGAAUUCUGAGUAAUUUGGGACUCACGUGCGCCUCUUGCUGAAGGAGGAAUGUAGAGUCCGCUGCUCCCAGGUCGUGGAUCCUCAGGCGAGCCCACGGCAGGAGAGUCGGCCGCGGACCGGGAAGCAAACGGCGGCGGCUUGGGCAAAGUAGCACGGCGCUCGUCCUGCUCGAACUCGAUCCGCAUCUGCUCAAUGUCGAUGCCCAAUUCAUCCCGAACCGCAUCAAUUUUGGUAGUGAUGCCAUCUAUCUUACUCGUCGAUUCCGCAAGCAGGGAGCACACCGCCGACACCAACGACUCCUGUUGGUUGCGGAACUUCAGAUCCAUGUCUGUGGUGAUGUCUCCACGGAGGAGCUCAUAGAGUUGCCAUCCCUCUGGUGGCAGAUUCUCCAUGGCUGCCAGGCGGCGACAAUCGCGGAAACGGGUGUGGUACUGGUGGACAGGCAAAGGCAGGAUUGGUGGCUCUGAUACCAGAUUGUGAGGACCCGACGGAUUACUCACGAAUUUUGGUGGCUAGUUCUAGAAUUCGAAUACUCAAUUGACGAGAUAUAUUGUUGUGGUCGCUGUUCCACCCAUCCUCCCUCACAGUGAGUUCAUAUUACAAGCAAUCGGUCUAAGCCGUCCAAAACCUAACCAAGGAAGAAACUACACAUAAGCUAGCUUAAGUAGGAAAUACAAGGUUCAGCGAACCCAACUUGGGCUUGCAAGCCUGGCGGGUAACCGGUGCGUGCGAGUGGGCCGCGACGAAGGCCCAUCUUGCCUUGAUGAAGCGUUGGGCUGGUCCAGGUCGUUGACACCGAGGAUCCUCGUUGAUGGCAUCGAGGUGUCACAACCCGAGCUGUACAACGACGGCCGAGGCCGAUUCGUCAUCCACGGCCUCCACAGCUUCGUCCGGCACAUCUCCCCAAACUGCUCGUGUGAGUCGUGUCUGGAGGGCGCACGCCGACGCCAGCGCCACGCUGCGCGCUCGGCUGCCAGCGAUAUGGUGUGGGGGGUUAUCGCCGCACUCCGUCGCUGCGGGAACUACGGCUUCGUGGAGGCGACCAUGCGCGUCUACCGCCCCGAGCUGGAGAUGUUCGCGAACCUGACAGUUUUCGCGCUCGAUGACCAAGCCAUCUUCAACGGCAGAGGCCAUGACUACGUCUUAGCAGUGCCCUUCCACAUCGUCCCAGGGCACCGCCUCACUGAGGCUGAUCUCAUGGGCCUCUGCCAUGGCACUAUCCUCCGGACGAUGGCCAGCGAGGGCGAGAACCUGGUCAUCACCCACGACUCCGACGGUGCUUCAAUCGGAUACAUUCGCAUAGUUCAGCCGGACCUCGUGAUUGUCGAUGGCGUCGUCGUGCACGGUAUCAAGGCGCCCCUGCAGUACUAUCAGAAGGAGCCACCAAUGGAGACCGGCUCGGGUGAGAAUCUGCUAGAGCUCAGAAUAAGUGGGCCGUGGCUGGAAUCGUUGUUUGCACGGUUUUUGGGGGUGUGGUGGGGUGGGUUGCUGAAACAUUUUGGCAAACCAAUGUUUACUUAAGAACUUUAGUUUAUUUUACCAAACAUUGACCGACUCAUCUGCAAUCAAAACAUUUUUCAAAAUUGGAUAGCCAAAUGUUUAGCAUAACAAACCAGGGCUCCAACCUGGUACGCAUUAUAUUUUGAGUAAAUUCACAAAAUCACAUUAAUUUUCUCACAUAACCACAACUCUUGAGACAAGACUUUUCAAAAAAAAAAACUUCAUGUUCGUAAGUUUCAUAGUAUUUCCGAAUAUGUGUCCCACAUGUAAAUGUCCAUCUGGCAAAAAUACCGGGUCAGCAACUCGACCCGACCCGUAAAAGCCCUAUCCAAUCCCCGAACGCUACCCCUCUUCCCAUGGCCACAUCCACAUGCUCCAGCCAAUAGCUAGGCGCUCCAGGAGCUCUACCCAUAGAUCCUGCUCUUCUUGUGGUGGUCGUCCUCAGCGCCGUCGAUGUUCGGCCUGCCGUCACGCUGUCGAUGUAGAGAAGCAGGAGGCGGGGCGGUAGGGAGCUGACUUAAUUAGCAUAGAAAAUAGGAUGGGAAGUCGGGUUUGUUCCUUGCUCCUUUUUUUUGACUGGGAACUGUAGGGGAAACCCCUACAGUGAUUUUAUUAAAGCAACAAAGUCACAAAGGAGCUGUGCAAAGAAAAGAAAAGAAAAAACUUACCUACUGUACAAAGUAGAAUCUAACCAAGAGAGAAGACUAUUAACAUUGACAGGUCUAAUCCUAUGAACAAGGAGUGACAUAUCAUGAGUGAAAACCGCCCUCCACGCACCAAAGGUAGGCCUCUAACAUGAUUAAAAAUCAACCCAUUCCGAAUCUUCCAAAUGUGCCAACAAGCCACCAGAACCACUUCCAAAAAGAAAGGCUUGCCAAAUGAGGAAGCAGCCCGACGCAUAAUCACAUCCACCGAUGGACCAUCAUCCCAAUCAACUUGCAGGAACCUCCAGAUACGAGCACUGUAAUUACAGCCGAAAAACAAGUGCUUCCAAUCCUCCAACUGGCGAGUAGGGAAAAGAACGCAAUGCUCCUCACCAUCACCAACGUGCCAGUGCCGCCAUUUCAUCAUAUCAUGGGUGUUAAGACAGUCAACAAGAAGAAGCCACCCGAACACCUUCACCGCGGCGUGCAGCAACAAGACCAUAACCAGCGAUAGAUCGCCCCAGGGUGCAGUUGCAGAAAACCAAGGGCAUAGAACUUCACAGAAGAAUACUGGGCACCCCACGUAAGAUCCCAUUGAUCAACCUCGGUGGACAGAUGGAACUGCGAGAGGAGAGCUUGAAGCCUCCCAAAUUCCUCAAAAGCAGCCGGUGACAAAGGGAGGUGGAAAAGAUUUUGUAUAUCAGGAGACUCAAAAACCUCUGCCACCGAAAUCCAACAGUCCUUGGCAAAGGAGAACAGGUGAGGCCAUUCAUCUUUCAGCACCAGAGGUCGCCAAUUAUCUGACCAGAAGAGGGCCGUAGAGCCAUUCCUAACCGUGACCACCGAGAGAGGGAGCAAUUGAUCAGCGAGCUUCAUCAGAUCCUUCCACCAAAAAGACCCACAAAGCUAAGUGGCAUGUGGCACUACACCAUGGUAAUACGAGGACCAAAUAAGUUGAACCCAAGGCACUGGAGUCUUGUUAUAGAACUUGUGUAAUUGUUUCAACAAUAGUCCAGUGUUUUGCCUCUGUAAAUUGAUCACACCCAAACCACCUUGGCGUUUAGGUUGGCAAACAAGAUCCCAUGCAGCCAACGACUGCCGAAACGAGUCCUUUCACUUCCCCUCCACAAGCAUUGUCUUCGGAUACGGUCCAGUUGCUUAAUGAUGCCCGGCGGGAUGACAAGAGAGCACAUGAAGUAGGUGGGCAACGAGGACAGAACAGAGUUCACUAACUGAAGGCGCCCACCAUAAGAGAGAAAAGCCGAGCUAGCAGUGAGCCGGCGCUCCAAGCGAUCAACAAGAGGCGAGAAAUCUUGCAGCCGCAGGCGAGUAGUUCCCAAAGGGAGCUCAAGAUACGUCAAAGGAAGAGUACCCACCAUGCAACCAAGAGCCGCCGCUAGCCCAAGAACCUGAUCUUCAGGAACAUUGAGGGGAAUCAGCAUAGACUUGGCAAAAUUCAACCGAAGACCAGUGGAAGCCGCAAAAUCAUCCAGAGCCAAUUUGAGCACCGAUAAUUGCUAACAAUCAGCUUGCAGGAUGAGCAGAGUAUCAUCCGCACAUUGGACUAUGGGAAAGUCGGGGUCACCGCAAUCAAUAGGAAGAGAUAGCAUACCACGACGUAACAGGUCAUUUACCACCGACUGAAGGAGAUCCGUAGCAAGAACAAACAGGAGGGGGGGGGGGGGGAGCGGGUCACCCUAACGCACCCCUCGUCUACAAGGGAAAGGCUUGCCCGGCACACCAUUGAGGAGGACAGACGAAGUACCGGAGUUGAGAAGCUCUUUGACCCAGAGGAUCCAACGAUCAGGAAAACCCUUAUGGCGCAAAACCUCAAGAAUGGCCUCAUGCUCCACAGUAUCGAAAGCCUUAGCAAAAUCAAGCUUGAGGAUGACCAAGGGACGGCGGGAAGCCUUACACCGGUGAAUGUACUCAAAGGUCCAAGCAAGGCAAUCCUGGAUGGUGCGAGAACGGAGAAAACCAUAUUGAUUCUUGGGGAGACAGCCAAGGAUCACCUCCUGAAGACGGUCCGCCAUCAUCUUAGUAAUGAACUUAAGACAGGUAUUAGUCAAAGAGAUGGGCUGAUAAUCAAAAACAGUCUCAGGUGACAGUUUUUUCAGGACCAGCGUGAUAUAGGAUCCAUUAAUACUCUGAAGUUGAAUAUUGCCUCAAGAAAAAUCAUCGGCCAGCCGGUAGAAAUCCUCAGCAAUAACAGACCAACAUUUCUUGACAAACAUACCGUUGAAAUCAUCCGGACCGGGAGCGUGGUCAGCCGGCAUUUUGCUAACCACUCGAUCAGCCUCCUCACUAGAAAAAGGACGAGCCAGCUCCUCCAGAUUGGGCACAUGGUGAAGCAAGCUAGCCAGAUCAAACCUCAUGGAGAUGCCCAAGGAAGUACCCAUACGCUGUUUAAAAUCCAGGAGAAAUGCAGUAGCCAUCUCCGCAUGAUCGGAGAUAGUUCGGCCAUCCACUAGUCGAAGACGAGAGAUGGUAUUACGCCGAUAUCGCUCAGUAGCUUUGGCAUGAAAGUACCGCGGGUUCUCGUCUUCAAGUUUGACCCAACGAAUAGUACAACGCUUACGCCAAUAAGAGCAUUGGGCACGAAGCAAACCAGCCUGGUGCAGCUUAACAAUUUUCCUUGCUCCUUUUAUUAUUAUGUUAUAAAAGAGUUUCUCUAUAUCUACGGUAGGAAGUUGGCUUGGCAUAGAAAAUAGGCGGCAGGAAGCUAGCUUCGCAUAUAAUUUCUUCGUACCUUAUAGACAGGCCAUUAAAAAUGUUCAUCCGAAUUCAUAAUUUUGUUCUUGCAUAUCUAACAUUUUUUUUGUCGGUGCAAAAAAGAUCGAUCUGGAGCUUGUUCCGUAGUCCUAUUAUGUACAUGAAAACGUUACCCAUCGCUUCGUAACAAAUUUGUUCAUGAGUGCAAAAGGUAUAAUUCCGAUGAUAAAAAAAAAAUCAGUGUUCACUAGUGAAAACAAAAAAAAAUGUGUAUGUUCAUGAGAAAAUAUAUGUAAAUCUCAACCGUGCUACGAUUUAACAAUUGAGAAGACUGGCACGUUUAAGUAAUGCAAUGUACUAACGUUAAGAAACAAAAUCAAUAAAAAAAGAAAGACGUACUCGUAAAAAAAAGGCACUGUGCGCCACGCUCCUACAUGGUCAUCUGCAAAAAUGAACAACCAUUUGAUCCUCGAGGACACCGUGUCUUUCUUUCUUGUUUCAUCGUGAGUAAAGUACGGAGGAAAUUACACAAACCACAACCUAAUGUUGACACUUUUGCGCGAAACCCCACCUGGACAGAUUUUUUGCAUUUUUUAUCACCUAUUGGUCUAAUCCAUUGCAGACAGGUCCUAACGGGCUAUUAAGCAAGUUAACAGCGUUUCUGAGAGGUACGGCCUACCAGUCAGCGCCGACGUGGCUCAAGCCCUUGCCACGUGAUAGUGCUAUCGCGACGCCGAUGGCGACCUGAACGCACUCCUUCCCUGACGACCGGAUCAACAACCGGCCCACGUUCCUCUCUCCCGAGCGACCGAGCCCCCGUCUGGCGGCUCGCGGCCCUCCUUGCCGUUGUUGCGCGGACUGAGGCCAUCCUCGCAAUCCGCGUCGCCGCGCGUCCCGCCCUCGCUCGCCGUCGUUGUUGCGCGUCCCACUCGCAACCGCCAGGCGCAACGGCUGCGUCUCCCGUCGCCUCCUGGGCCUCAGACCAUCUCCGCUGCUUCCUGGCACCGCAACGUGUAGUUGGCGCUGACUGGUGGGCCCCACCCGUCAGAAACGCGGUUAACUUGCCUAAAAGCCCAUUAGAACCUAUUUGCAAUGGAUUAGACCAAUAGUUGGUGCAAAGUGCAAAAAAAUCCGUUCAGAUGGUGUUUUGUGCACAAAUGUCUCCAAUAGUUGGUGGUUUGUGUUAUUUCCUCUAGUUGUGUAGGAAGCAAUAUGUCGUAAGUUGCUUUUAGGCAUGUUACAGCAGUAAAAGCAACUUACCGUAAGCGUGAGGCUCGACGUGGAGGGAAGCGGCCGGAAAUCGCACCUGAAUCAAAUGGGCCGUGUCAGGCCCAACGAGCGCCACGCGUCGCGGGCUUCCAGUGAUGCAUGACACAAACGAAAUGCGGUCUCGGACGCUUCUCAAAAGAAAAAAGCAGGCGGAACGGAGUCCAUCCCUAGUUGGACCUGUGUUCCCUCACUUACAUAGCCAAGCGCCUUUUGCCCUCUCAAAAAAAAAGCCAAGCGCCUUUUGCAGGAGUACGUACGUACGUGCGGUCUGCAAAGAAGUGAAGAACGUACAGGACCGCCGGUGCGGGGUGCCGAUAUAUCAUCACACGGCUAAUUAACCAAUCACGGCGGCAGAGCAGACCGACAUGGAUGCCGCGUCGGCAAGCAAGAGGCCGAGACCGACCACGGGUGCCCGCUGCCUGAAGAGAUCGUAGAGGACAUCCUCUCGCUCCUGCCGGUCAAAUCGCUCGCCCGCUUCCGCUGCGUAUCGCCGGAGUGGAACGAUCUCAUCGGCUCCCCCGAGUUCGCGAAGCUUCACUCCGAGCGAUCCCGCGGCAAGGGCAGGCUGUUCCUCAAGCCCAGAGGCCAUCGUCUCUUCUACGUCUGGAAGUGCAAGACUGGUGCUGCUCCAGUACUGGAGACCAUCCUGGAUGACUGGAGACAGCCAACAUCUUCCCUCUCGGCAAGUCUUGCCACGGCCUCGUCCUCCCGCGCUUCCUAGACUACGAAGUGCACUGCGUGUGGAACCCUUCGGCGUGCGAGAUCGUGUCUCUCCCGGACAGGACGCCGGCCAGGGACAUCUGGCGUGGCCGCAGGACCCACGUGGUUUACGGGAUGGGCUAUUGCUCGGCGACGGAGCGGUACAAAGCGGUGCGCAUCCAUGUUCAAUAAAUUUGAAAACUUUUCAGAGGUGCAUAUCUUCUCUUGUCGUGUGGCGUGCGUGUGUGCGUCCGAUGCAGCAAGGUCGGACGGGUAGAGGAACGGUUGACAUACCGCCAAGGCUGCACGGUGUGACGGUGUCUCUGCGUCUGCCACGUACCGCCUCUGACCUCGUGGCCCCACUGAGCUCGCAGGUAUACCAGCGACGCUGUGACCGAAGAGGCUGCUGGUUCGAGGAAAAAUAUCAAGCGACCAGACCAUGAAGGGAGAGGAACCAACCAAGCCAGUUCAGAAAAAGACACAAAACAACAAAAAACGAAGCAGCACGACCAGGACCCGAAAAGCCGCGGGAACCCAGGGGACACAGAGGGGAAGCGGAGCGGUGCGCAGCGCCACUCGGCAUUCCCCCUCUCCCGGACGGGCGCCGCGCCCAACGAAGCCCCGCGCGCUUCCCAACGUCCACUCUCAUGCGGCCCUGCCGCGGACUUUCCUUGCGGACUUGCGGUGGCGUCCUGCCGCGCUCCCUGCUGCUCCGAGCCGUCCACAUCAAUCAAAACUCUGUCCGCCUACCUUCCAUUCGCCUAUCCGCGCGCUCUUUCUGCCCGCUCCCGGCGCCGCGCUCUCCACUCCUCACUUCGGCUGGAAUACUGCGUUUUCGCUGGGAACCUAGCAGGAUUCAGGAGUUUUGGGGAGCGAUGGCGCCGGCGUCGGGGCAGUGGGCGUGGAUGGCGACGGUGGCGGCGGAGGAGCUGGCGAAGCUGGAGGACGCGCACCCCGGCCGCAGCCUUGGCCCGCUCAAGGCCGAGCUCGGGCGCAUCAUCGCCGACCCUGGCUGGGACGACGACGACGCCGUCCCGCUCGCCUUCCUCGGCGUCGGCGUCCCCUCCUCCUCCCAGUCCCAGUCCCAGCCGGCUGCUCCCCCAGACCUUACGCCGCUCACACAAGGUACGUAUACGCGUAUACGCCCAUGCGCAUUUGCUGCGUGCUAUUAUCCAUUGAUGGUGGUUCUUGCACGACCUGCAGAGUCCUCGACCGAGAAGCGAAAGUGGGUUGGCGGCGGCGCUGCGGUCGACCGGGAAAAGCAGAGGAAGCGCCGGCGGCGGAAGACCGAGGCGCAGCCGAGGGCGAAGAAGGACAGGGCAGACAUGCUCAUCGAGCGCGCGGAGGAGUACCUCAAGAUGAUCCGCGCCGUCAAGCAUAGCUUGCGGCCUUGCUCGGAGGACUGAAACCAAGGGACAGCUUAAGGGACAGUGAUUGGGAAAUGAGGCUUUUGCCGAUUGCCUUCGGUUCUGUAUUCUGUCUUUCUUUUCGCCGCAAUUGGGAAAGAGGCAUCAUUUCUUCUUCUUUUUUCAGGAAAAGUGGCAUCAUUUCGGAAGAUCUUGUUCGCCUUUUAUCACUGUGUGCAUACGUGGAGGAAUUGGAAAAAAAAGACAUUAAUUAACCUUUUGAGUUUCUGGGGGAGGGAGAGAUGGGGCUUAUAAAUUUCUAAAUUGAUCCUCCUUUCUUUCUUGUCGAAUAAGUAUCGUGCAAUUUGAACUGUCAUUUGUGUCUGUUUGUUUCCUACCAAAGCAGAAGUCAAAUGUCAUUUUUGAGUAUUGGAGAAAUCAUCUGCUAGUAAUAAUUAAGAUUGCCUUAAUUAGCAAAAAAAAAAUAUCAAACCAAAAUACCAUAAAAAUAUUUUUCAGCGAUAUAUCUGAUGAUCUUUAUUUCAGCGAUGUUGGUAUUUUUUUCAUAAGUUCCGUCCACGAAGUAUAAAAUAACCCAAUGAUCAAUACAACAAGUGUGUUAGGUUUUUGAUGUGAACAAGACAGACAAACAUACGAGGACUGAGUAACAAUGGUUUGGUUCAAUUCAGGCAAAAAAGGAAACAUAAUGACAAGUCCUCACCUAUCAUCUCAAAUGAACUCAAAUAUUUCAAAUCUAAGUUACAAGCCAAUCAUAUAGGAAUUCUAACAAGAGGUUAGAUCUCAGAAAAAUUCUUUUGUGUCUAUGAUAACUACGUGUACACUAAUGUUUAACGUAAAAUUCUUUUUUUUUAUGAUGCAACAAUACAAUUUCUGCUACCAAUUCUUGUGUUCUUGAUUACAGCAGGGUUCACUGUGUCAUGGCAUUAUGUCCCUGCAUUUUCUACCUCCGUGUUUUAAUACUCCUAAGAUUCGAAGAAAUCUUUAAUAAUUCUGCUUCGUACAAGUAGUAUGAUGUAACAUGCUGCCACGAAACUUUGACAAGAUCAAGUAGAAAGCAAGGCCGAACAAAAAGGACGUUGCAGCUCAAGUUGUCAAAACGGAAAGGACGUUGCGCCGGAGACAACAACUGUGGUGAAAAACAAUGGAUUGUUGGCCAAAAGAACAAAGAAAAGGAAAAAGAAAUACACAACACUGAAAAUAAUACUCACUCCCAUCCAUAUUAGUUGUCGAAAUAUUACAUGUAUCUUGACAUUUUUUAGCAUAGAUAUGUCCAUAUUUAAACAAAUUUGAGACAAUUAAUAUGGAUCAGAGGGAGUACAUUCUAUCCAGGAUCCUUGUUUGCGUUCAUUUUUUUUUCCGAUCUACCGUAUUUUCAAAAAGUUGCUUUUAGCCAAGCCGACAGUUGAAAUUGAACCAAGAGAGCCCAGCAAAGAGAGAGAGAGGGGGAGGUUGAUUGUUGAAUCUUGAAGAAAAAACAAACAAACAGAAAAUGUGCUCUCGUACUUGCACGAGCAUUUUCUCCGUCCUAAUGGGCUCAGCCCAGUUACUAGCUAGGCUAUCGGCCUAUGAGCCCCACUGGAGCGGUGACGGAGAAUCCGUAACUACGUCUCCCCCCUGCAGAUACGUAUAUCAUAACCACUUCGACUAGUUCCACCACCGCGCGUGCCGUGUCAGGCGACCAUCGCACUGCUCCGGCGGCCGCCACGGGAGCACCAGGACCCAACGCGGUUGCGGAGACGCCUCCCCUCGCGUCCCAGAUAAGGCUCCGCCGGCGAGACGAGAGUGACGAGGUCUCGGGAGGGCGAGAUGGUCUGGGCGCUGACACCCGUCAACACAGCGAGUGGUUCGCCACCUCCGUCCCCAUCCUUCGAUUCCGCAGAGCUCUUAUAUAUGAGUUUUGGCUAUUGGUUGGGUGAUUGUUUUCCCUGUAAUUUUUGCAGGGUUGCAGAAGUUCUACUUCUGCGCCGCCGGGACGUACAAGGUCGGUCGAAAAGGUACGCCCUUUUGGCCCUCCUCUCCCUUGCGUUUCCCGUGGUAGCUUCGGUUUGUUGGUUUUGGUCCGGUUUUGAUUUUGCUUGCUAUUGUUGACCAGUAAUGCAGUUGUGCUAGUGGUCCAAACGUUCCGUUCCAGGAAACACUCAGAAGAGAGGAAACAAUGUUUUGGAAUUCAGAUAACUUAAAUUUGUGUCCUGUUUUUGUUGUACGAAAUUCAGUCUAGUGAAGCCUUCAUCCUUUCUACUCCCUCCGUCCCAUAAUUCUUGUCGUUGUUUUCAACUAAAACAACUACGAGAAUUAUGGGACGGAGGGAGAUUUUACCAAGCAAUCAAAGGACAAGGGCCAUAUUCUUCUAUUCAGUAAAUUUGAUGUCAUCUCCAUUUAAGCAUGUUCUAGAACUGAUGGAAUGGCAAUAUAAUAGCAGGCAAAUUAGUAGCACAAGUUUAUAGUGAAUAUCCUUAUAUGAAUUAUUAUUUUUUGAACGGCUUCUUAUAUGAAAUUGUGGAUUAACACUGGUGAUUUCUGACAUAGGUUGUGAUAUCCUUGUACCAACGGACACAUCGAUAUCCCGAGUGCAUGCAGAGAUCACAAUUGAAAAGAUGGUUGCCUGGGAUCCACAAUCUGGUGCGCCAGCUACCCCUUCAUAUGUUAGUGUUGUUGACCGUUCGAAGUACGGCACAUUUGUCAACAAGGUACAAGGGACCCAGGGAAGUCGGCCACGUAAAGAUGAAGAAGUAAUGCUUGCCGAUGGGGACACUGUGACUUGUGGAACUGGGAAUACGACCUUCAGGUGAACAUAAUCUAAAGAAAGGGGGCAUGCGUUCUCUUCUUAUGCAACUCUUUUAUUAGCAUGCGCAACUAUGUGUAGGAAGUGAUUAUCAGUAUAUGCAACAAUGGUUAAAGUAAUUUUUUGUUUAAUUCAUAUAUGUAAUGGUGCUUUGGUUGGAAAGGUGGAACAAGUUGUACUUAGUUCUGUUGACGUUCCUGGCAGGUUUUCAUUUGUCCCCAUAGUGGUCUUCUUUCAUGGCAAAAAAUCAUCACGGAUUGAUCGAUCAUUGCAGGCAAUUAUGACAUCUAUUGGUUAGUGGUAAUCUACCCUUACAUGAUAUCUUUAAACUGCUGUUAGUUCAUUAGUAAGCAUAGUUUUUUUUCAUCAUUGUUGCUUACUGGGAUUUGAUAACCUGGUACUAUCUCCUAAGGUGCAUACGUUACUCGUAAGUGGAGUGAUGAAAGUACACAUGUUCUUGUGGAUGAAUCAUCUCUGUUGACACCUGAGCUCCUUGAUGCAAUCAUCACAAAGAAGCCAAUCGUCUUGGGAAACUGGUUCAAGGUACUUCCCUUUUCCCUGCUUUGUAGCAUUGCUUGUAUGUCUGAUGCUCUUUUUUAGCCAGCACACUAUUUCCCCGGGUGCAUGAAUUGUGUUAAGUGUAUUACUAGUUGGCUUAUAAAAUAUACAUGGCCAUGAGGAGGUCCUGUGGCUUGAUUCUUGAAAUUGAUAUAGCAUAUAUUGGGCCAUGUAUACUUUUUUAUUCAUAUGUGAUAUGUAUAUUCAAGCUUGAGUUAUUAUUGUUUUGAUCUGUUUCAGGCGAUGGCUGAAAAAGAACAUGCACACUUAAAUUUAUUAAGUUAGUGUAUAUUACUAGUUGGCAUAAUGGCAUAUAGAAUAUGGAUGGUAACGAGGAUGUCCUUUAGUUUGAUUCUUGAAAUUGAUAUAACAAUGAACAACUAAUUCAUUUGUGACAUGCAAACAUUAUUAGUCAUAUUUACAUUCAAGUUUGAGUUAUUAUUGUUUUGAUCUGUUUCAGGCGAUGGCUGAAAAGAACGUGCACACUGAAAUCCCUUCUUGUACACAGUAAGCUGCUGCGACCCUCAGCACCUGAGAUAGUAGUUUAUAUAGAUUCUUGCAUCAACUUGUGGCUCUCCAUAAUCAUAGUCUACGUUGCACAGAUACGCCAGGGACUUGCCGUGUCGGUGCAGAAAACUGCCCAGAAUGGGGAUACGCACCAAUACGGUUGGGAUACUUGUGUCCCAUGCCAGCCCCUUUUUCCAAAUUAAAAAAAAGAAAUAAAAGGAAAAACAGCUUAGAUGUGCACGAGAUAGUUCACCAUGCCUGUAACUAAUCGAUCCACAGCCACUGGAAGCCUACUCGGUAGGAUGAAACUUGACUCCGAUUCUCCAUUUUCUCUCAUCUCCAUAAUAGUGUAUAAGUAAUAUAUUUUUUUAGCAUUUUAUACAUGUACUCGCCGUAUCCCCAUAAGCGUAUUUUUAGAAAAUACCGUUUUCCCGUAUCCCCAUACCGUGUAACAUAGAUCAUAGUUGCUGAUACAUUACUUGUACUUGAUCCAGAUAUAUUCCAAACUUGACUCUUGAUGGGAUGGAGAUAAAGAUGGUUGAGAUCAAGCUCAUGGAGAAUUGCCUAGCAGGCUAUACUUUUAUCCUGGGAUCAUCGGAAAAGGUGGUGUAUGUUUCUGUUAUGAAUUGGAAUUGACAUCAUCAGGCAUUUUGCUGUUGUCUAACGUUUCUCAUUUGCAGUAUAAAUUUGGAGAGAAACUGCAAGCGUUACUGGAAUCAAUUGGAGCAACAUAUCUCAGUGUUGACGAGUUUUGUGCUAACAGUCAGGUAGUGUUGGACUAUGCUAUGAAUGGUUAAUACUGUUUUUUCCAAGAAUAACUUGGAGGAACUGGACAUUUUUUUCUUUAAAGACGCAAGGCACCAAAUUCGAGUUAAAGCGCACUCAAGCUGGGAAGAUGUGGUCUCUAAUCAGUUUUGUUUAGUGUGGUAGUUUUGCUGGCAAAACAAAUUCCUUUAGUUAUUUGAGUACUACCUUUUUUGUGAUUGCUGCAUUGUUAUUGGUUGUCGUGUACUCUUUUUAUGGAAUGUGCAAAUAUAUGAAUGGCUUAAGAAUAAAACUAACAGGAGUCUGGAGCUGGAGAGAACGACCAACAAAUUCUUCUUGUUCCUGCAAAAUCUCCAGUGGAAUUCAGUGAGAUACGUCAUCUGUUUCCUUUGUCCAAGAUCACUGACGUGAAGCUAUUUGUUGCUAUAUUGUCUGGUCGCUUGGAAGCAGCUGCUAUUGAACCACCUGCUUGUAAGUAUCAAUAGUUCCAUGAGUAUAUUUUUAAAGAAGGUGCACAAGCUUUAGACAUCUUAUCGUUAAGCAGUUCCAUAUACUAGUACACUACACUACCAUCCCUGCAAUUUUGUUUUGACUUUAGAGUUUUAUUAGCAGUAUGGUAUAUAAGGGUUUGUGAUGUUUAUUUUGUUUUGUUUCUGCCAGACAUUAUUACAUCCUCAAAUACGACAGAUGAAACUUUUGUGGCGGAUUCUGAUGUUGAAAUUGAUACUGCAAUAUCUGAUCAUACUGUUGCUGCUAGCAAGUCUCAGCAUCAUAUUCAGCAAACCUGUGAUGAUAAAACGGAAGGCAAAUUGACAACCAGUGAUAAUGCUGUAAAUUAUGGAGAAACAAAGGUCAAUAUUGAUAUUCCUGACGACCUGGAGAAAGAUGAAAUUUCAAAAUCCAUGGAGGCUGAUGUUCAGGUCAUAGAGAAAACAACAACUCCUGUGUUCAAAGCUGGGUGUGAGGAUGUUCAAGUUAUAAACAUGCCACAGGGUAAGAAGUUGGAAAAUAGCAUGGAUAAGACAUGCAAUGCUGUUUUCGUAAACAAGGCACCAAAGGAUGAGAAGUUGGAUCCUAGCACGGAUGAGACUUGUCAUAUUAUUUUUAGUCAAGAUCUGAUUGUCAAAAGGGUACGUCAGACAGCUCAUGCUAUGACAACAGAAGCUGGAGGCGUUAACUUUAAACGCUUUAGAAAGGUAUAUACAGUAUGCCUUGUUCCUGCAGUUUUUUCUUUCACAAACAGUUGAAUGGCAACACUCUUAAUCCUCGAUGUUCAACCUUUCAGAGGGAAACUGUGUCUGGAAACAGCUUCAGGGCCCUUAUCCCAUUUGCACGAGAACCAUACAGGUAAUAAGAAUUAGAAACGCUUUCGCAUGGAACUUCAAAGUUUGUUACUCCGUAGUAGGUUUGGCACUAACAAGCUUUACUGUGGUUUGUGUCCCUCUUUUGGUAGAGAAUCUGAUUACGAAAGUGGCACAUUGACGGAUUUCAUGCGAGAGGAGAAGCGGCGAAAACAAAUGGAAUCCAUCGCAGAGGACCUCUUCAACAAUCAGAAGGUAAGGUGUAGGUCUACAGCACUGCCAUAAUCUGUCUUGUGUAUGUAUUCUUACCAUGUGAUGGUGGAUUUCCAGUCAAAGAAAAAGGCGUCUGCAGGUAGUUCAAUUCAGACCCUACUCACUGGUCGCUGAAGAAAUCCAGGAGAAAAUUAUCCUCCGUUUUUGACUCUUGGUUGGAGUAUCUGAGCAACUGCAUCCUCCACUUCCCUACUGGACGUCGGCUCUGUUCUCGUGCGGCACCUUCGUUUCUCAAGUUUGAACGAAGGUUUAAUGGAGGCCUUACUCCCGUGGUUGAUGGUUCUUCCCACAGCAUGACGAGUAAAGCUGGCGAGUGAAGGUACAUAGGAAGGGUGCGUGUAAGACACACUUGUAAUCCAAGGGCAGUUCUCGUAAUCACAUUCUGGCAAGACGUUGGCGUACACGUCCAGAAAACUCUGCAGUGUUGUAUUGGUGUUAGUUUUCUCCUGGUCACCUCGAUUGUGUGCUGCCUUCGAUAGAGGCAUAGAGCGUCUGUAACUUCGACGGAAGCAGCCGGCAACGCGUACGAGUAGAUUUGGACUUGAGGGGCGUUUAAUGAGAGCACUUAUUUCAUAAAAUACGCACUCCGUUUCUAAAUAUGAGAUGCUCUAACUUUGUUCUAAGUUAAAAAAAUAGAAAGUUUGAAAAUUUAUAAAAAAAAUCUACCAACAUUCAUAAUUCUCGUCGUGGUUUAGCACGACGACAAGAAUUAUGGAACGGAAGAAGUAUAAUUCUAGAAUAGUUUUAUUGAAUUCGUCGUGGUUUAGCAUUGUAGGUAUUAGUAUACUUUUCUACAAACUCGGUUACGAAGGUAGAACUUCUAAAACUACAGUAGAUGUGUUGCACGCCGCCGUUCGUGGAACAUAGCUGGAGCGUCGUACUCCAACGGUCUCAAGGCAGAAUGAAAGGUUACGUGGUGCCAAGGAACCAAGGUUUCAGCAGCCUGCAAGAUCGCAUGAGAAUAAACGGCAACAGGGGUCACCCACCGAGUGCAGAACUGCAGUCUGUAUAGCCUGCAGGUGCGAUGCUGUCCUGCAAACGCACAUGCAUAUCUCUUAUUUCUUCUAACUUGGCUCAGCAACGAGCAUUUCAUUCUCAUCUGACACGCGCAGGCUAGGUAGGUUGGGAUCCUUGACGAAACGAGAUCAAUUAACAAAUCUGCACAUAGUCUAAAGCAACGCACGUUCGCAACAGUUUCUGUCCCCUGUGUACACGACCUAAUGGACAGCAAAGACGAGAACUAAAAACCAACAGCAUUGUUCCACCAAACAAAACGGCUGUAAAUUCCUUUGGUCUUUUGAUGUCUGUAGUAUAAGUUAUGGUGACACACGAAUGAUGUAGACCUUUGGACGGAGCACUGACAAGGGAAGCUGCAAUCAGAUAAGACCUCUGUUAGUAGCUGGUAUAAACUGCGAAAGGAAAGAAAAAGUUACUACAUGUCCCUAAAUGGGCAAAGAUGGGAGAGGCAAAAGUGGAAUAAUGCACAAGCAAGCAGCAAGAGAUAAUGGGUGUAGUGUAGAUAAGAGAAAGAUGAAGAAAUCGAAGGUAUACCAUAGAACAAAGCACUAAACUAACUGUAAUGCUACGGCAAUGUCAUAGAAACCAUAUCUAGCAUGUUUCUGAGACAGUCUAGAAACCACUUAUAGAGAGACUGGUCUCAGACAUAACCUAUUCGAACUGUAGUAUGUCAGUCAAUUGACAUUUCAUAUGGUUGUAACAUUGCCACAGAAAAAAGUAGUGUAAUGUGCUAAUGCGGUCAAAAGCCGUAUCCUCAGAUAACUAAUUAAACGGUCAUUGUAACACACAAAAGGCAAGGGAAUAAAAUAGCUGAAGAAAGCCUGACUAGUCUCACAAAAAUGAAAAAAAUAUGUGUGUUCCCAAGGGGAAAUAUGCUGAUAUCAAUGGGGCCUGUGCAUGCCAUUGAACAUAGAAAAAAUGUCAUCACUGUUACCAGACUUGACCAUAGAGGCAAAGAUUUGAAAGAAAGAAUGCAAAGAACAUGCCAUCACUUAUAUGGGGAAGUAUCCGGUGAAAACCCUCGUUCGGUGCAAACCGUGCAAACUUCAUAAAAACCAUGUUUAAAAGUUUCAAAAAAAUUCUACAAAAAUAUCAUAUGUUGGGAGUGUGAUGUUCUACACACCUGCAAAAUUUCAAGUUCAAAGUCAAAAUCAUUUCGAAGGAAUUAAAAAGAGAAAUUUACAGUGAAUAGUGUCAAACAUUGAAAGAUCACUAUUCAUGCAGAAUUUGUUUUUUUCGCUGCUACCAAACGCCAUUGAGUUUGGACUUGAAAUUUUACACAUAUAUAAAACACCACUUUUCUAACAUAUGUAAUUUUUUCGAGAAUUUUUUGAACUUUUUUCGAUGUAGUUUUCACAGUUUGCACUGUAGAGGUGGUUUUCACCGGAUAUUUUGCCCACUUAUAAUUGUAUUCAACAGCGAAACUAACAACUAAGGGAACAAGUAGAGGCAUGGAGAUCUAGCUCCCUACAGAAGAGGAAUUUCCAAGAUCCAGUGCUAACGUUGACGGUGUCAAAGAAUUUAUAGUUCCUUUGCUUCCAGAUAUGAGUAUAUGACAGACGAUCUUGGAAAAUGAAUCCAGAAUCUCUAACAAAACAGCUUAUCUUGACAACUCUGCUACAUAUUUUGUUAAAAAUUCUGAAAUUAGAUUAUCUUUCUAUGCUGGUAGUUGCCAAAAUCCAUAUAGCUAUCAUGAACUACAGCAUUAUUUAGUCAAUUACAAAAAACAAUCACGUGUGUAAGGUGAAACCUUCAGAAAACAACAAUCUUUAAUGGAAGAAGAAAGAAAACUUUUGCAGGUAUGACUUGACAAACCAAUAUGGAAAGAAAGUAACUGAAUAAGCAUCCAAAUUAAUACUCGUAUAAUGAAUGAUAUUUAACAGGAGUCAAAACUGUGAAUACGGACGCACGGAUGACAACCUCCUAGACAGUCUAAUGGACUUCGAUGAAAUUGAGAUUUUCAAAAAGCAAGUAAGCUGUACUAUAAUCAACAAAAAAUUAUCGGGUCUAAGAGAAUAUGAAUUGGCAUUAUGAUUACUGGGUGAAGUAUCAAGAUAAGCUUAAUGCUUCAAAGCAGUAGUCUCUUAACUCGAAAAUACCUGGAGUAACAGAAAGAUUAGCAGAGAUGUUUGCAAGCAUAAGUCUUUCUUUUGGAUUCCUGAAUAUGUACUCUAUACAUACGUCAUGGCGCCCAUGGAAGGCAUCACAACCACCCCCGCAAUAAAAUUGGUGUGUGGCGUCGCGGUCCCGUCCCGUGGCGUCGCAGGGACGCUUUGAACUCCGUGGUGCUAAAAUUGCGAUGCCACAGAAAAGAACAGCAGAGCAGGCGUGCGCGGGAGGAAACUGCAGGAGGAAAGGCGGUUGCGUGGGAGGGAGGGUGAGGGAAUAGGGCAAGUGACAAGUCUCCCCCCGCCCCCCGUGAAAUAAAAGUCACUGAGAAAUUGGGAAAGAGAGAGGAGAGGGAAUCGAGUGUUCCUUCCCCAGCGCUGGCCUGGCAGUUCCUUCUCCGACCUCUCCGAACUCCAGCAGCAGGUAUGUCUUCUUCCUCCCACCUUCUCCUGUCCCUCUCUCCCUCUCUGCUCUGUUCUGCCCUCGUUCCCUCGCUCUGAUCUGUUCUAUGCUACUAACCCUCUCUGCUAUGCUCUGUUCCCCUCUCCCUCCCUAUACUUAGAUGAUGAAAUUAUAGGCUAGUAAAUUUCUAUGAUGCUCAUUAUAGGCUAGUACAUUUCGAUGAUGCCAUUAUAGGCUAGUGUAUUUCUAUGAUGCCAUUAUAGGCUAGUGUAUUUCUAUGAUGCCAUUAUAGGCUAGUGUAUUUCUAUGAUGCCAUUAUAGGCUAGUGUAUUUCUAUGAUGCUAUUAUAGGCUAGUAAAUUUCUAUGAUGCCAUUAUACGCUACUAAAUUUCUAUGAUGCCAUUAUAGGCAAAGUAUAUCAAGUCGAGGUACAUAUGUACUAAAUUGGUGAUUUAUAUGAUGCCAUUAUAUGCUAGUAUACUUCUAUGAAGUCGCCACGGCACACGCCAUAAGCUUUAUAAAGCUGUGAGGGGGUUGGGUCACCGCAACUCGCCACGCCGUAUUCAAAACCAUGAUGAUACCAUCCUUUAGAUGUACCAACGUACGGUAAUUACCCCAAAAAAAGUCAUGAAACUCCUGAAAGCAAUUGACACAGCAUAUCUGUAACAUGUCACACAACUUCAAGUCCAAAUUUGACCCACAGCUCGAGAAAAGAUAAGAACAAGUCCGGUGCUAAUCACAGCUGCACUUGUUUUUUUUUCUCAAGCUGCAGAAAUUUGGAUACAAAUUGUUUUCGGAAAACAAAUCACAAAUAUUUGGGCGUGAUACCGUGCAUUGGCAUCAUGGCUAAUAUGUUCUCAUGUGCAAUGAUAGGAUCCUCACCACAAAGAAAAUAUGCAGCACAUAUUGGCUUCAAAGACAGCAGGUAAAACUAGAUUAGAUAUGCGGAUGAAAUUUGAGUCUGGAUCAUCUAAUAUUGAACUGCAGCAUUAGUAAGUUCCAUUCCAAAUAUUGUUGUGAAGUUUUUCAAACAAACUAAUGAACCUCUAUGAGCAAAACAUUGGCUUUCUCAUCAUGAACUAAACCCCAAUUAUGUGUGUUUUUUGCAUUAGCAGCUGCCUACUAUUGAAUACAUAUUUAUAUUAUUACAAACAUAACACAACUCUGGAUGUGUGUAUGCUAAUGUUACCGUGCGAUGAUAUAAAGUCACCAAAUCAGAGAUGUGCCCGAAAUUGGAUGUGAACAAUCAGCUUUCAGAUAUGUUAAUUCAGAACUGUGCCCUUUCAGAAUAAUGAAGUGCAAGCGCAUUUACCAAAGUUCUUAAGAAAUUUUGAAGUAGCUUUCACUUCUAGUCAACAAAAAACAGCAGUUCUAAAGUCCAAACAACAGAUUGAAGGUGUUUCAACUUCGACAGAGAUAAUAAAUAGUUCUGAACAGUCUACCAAGGCAACAGUAGUCAAUAAAGAUGGUUGUGUUUUACUGUGUGAAAUACCUCCACUGAUAACUCAUUUGCGCUCAAUUCUUGUUGCUGCCACCUCCAUCCUGCGAGCUACUGCCAGCAUCCCCAUUGUUCCCAUCUUGCUGCGGUGUUUGCCCUCCCAAUCCACCAAACGGCCAUGGCAGCGACACAUUGAAUCUCCUUUCAACUACCCUCGCCGUCUCCCCUGUCUCCUCCCUUCCUUCCUCAGCAGCGCUAGAGUUCCCAGAUGCAGCUGCGGAAGCGAUGCCAACAGCUGGCUGUGGGUUCGAGGUCUUAUUGCCCUCGUAAUCAGGAUCAUCAGUGGGAAGCUCGAAGCGGCAGAUGGGGCACGAGUUAUGGAGCUCCAACCAGGGUACUAUGCAGUAGUCGUGGUAGAUGUGCUUGCAGGGCAUCUGCUUGGCCCCCUCCCCAGGUGAGAAAUCUUCCUUGCAGACAGCGCACUCAGCGCCCUCCGCCGCCGCGACCAUAGAAUCAGUCACGACAACAUCAGGAAGCGUGGAG
rnacentral:lncRNA from 1 species